AAUAUUGAUGCUGGAACUGAAAAACGCCACCAACAAUUGAAAGAAGAAGUGAGGAAGAUGAUUGUGGCACCAAUGGCUAAUGCAACCCAAAAGUUAGCCUUCAUUGAUUCAGUGCAAAGACUGGGUGUGAGUUACCAUUUCACCAAGGAGAUCGAAGAUGAACUAGAGAAUAUCUACCAUAACAACAAUGAUGCCGAGAACGACCUCUACACUACAUCUCUUCGAUUCCGACUACUCCGAGAGCAUGGAUACAAUGUUUCAUGCGGUAAUUAUUGGAACAACAACAUAGUGUUUUUAAGUUUCUUGAGAAUAUAAUAGCAUGGAAUGUUUGAUAACGAUAUUUCAUUUUGGGUAAUUUCAUCUCAGACGUAUUCAACAAGUUUAAAGACGAGCAAGGGAAUUUCAAAUCAACCGUGACAAGCGAUGUUCGAGGAUUGUUGGAACUUUACCAAGCUUCUUAUUUGAGGGUUCAUGGGGAAGAUAUAUUGGAUGAAGCAAUUUCUUUCACCACCAACCAUUUAAGCCUUGCAGUAGCAUCUUUGGACCAUCCUUUAUCCGAAGAGGUUUCUCAUGCUUUGAAACAAUCAAUUCGAAGAGGCUUGCCAAGGGUUGAGGCAAGGCACUAUCUUUCAGUAUACCAAGAUAUUGAGUCCCAUAAUAAGGCUUUGUUGGAGUUUGCUAAGAUCGAUUUCAACAUGUUACAAUUUUUGCAUAGGAAAGAGCUAAGCGAGAUUUGUAGGUAUGUUUUUUUAAUCUCUUUCACCCAUUUUUUCUUUUUCAUCUUUUUUAUUUAUUUAUUUUUUAGUGGAAGGAGGGUUGAAUUUAUUGGAGACAUCAUUCUCAAUAUAGGAGACGAGAUGCAAAUGCUAAUAUUUGAAUCUUAUUAAAUAGCACAAGUUAAAAGUGAUGGCAUCAACCUUGGAUUCAUCUUUUUCACCUAUAUCAUUUUAUUUAUAUAUAUUUUUGCCAAUUGACUUAAAUCUAACAACAUGAAUGUGAAACUAAUUGAAACUUUGAACAUAUAUUGUGCUAAUGGGGUUUUUUAUGAAAUGAUUUUUUAGGUGGUGGAAGGAUUUAGACUUUCAAAGAAAGUUGCCAUAUGCAAGAGAUAGAGUGGUUGAAGGCUAUUUUUGGAUCUCGGGAGUGUACUUUGAGCCCCAAUAUUCACUUGGUAGAAAGAUGUUGACAAAAGUGAUAGCAAUGGCAUCUAUAGUAGAUGAUACAUAUGACUCAUAUGCAACAUAUGAAGAGCUCAUUCCAUAUACAAAUGCAAUUGAGAGGUUAGAUUUCUUUAAUUUUGUUGGUAAUAGGUUAGGUUUCUUUAGUUGAAGUUAACAUUCAAUAAUAUAUUACGAGGAAUGAUUAAAUAUAACAUUGAAGUUGGAUUCAGGUGGGAUAUCAAAUGCAUAGAUGAACUUCCUGAAUACAUGAAGCCGAGCUACAAGGCACUAUUAGAUGUUUACGAAGAAAUGGAACAACUGGUGGCUGAGCAUGGGAGACAAUAUCGUGUCGAAUAUGCAAAAAAUGCGGUAUGUACAUCACCAAAUAUUUAUUUUGUACACAAGAGAUAAGAUAUUAGUUAAAUUAUAGAUUUGAAUAAACAACUAACUUGAAUAAUAAUAUAUAAUCAUUUAAAUAUUAUUUUUGAAUUUGAAUUGAUAUUCGUAAUAAUUGUUUGAGAUUUUGUUGCCUCAGAUGAUACGACUUGCUCAAUCUUACCUUGUGGAGGCCAGAUGGACUCUUCAAAACUACAAACCAUCAUUCGAGGAGUUUAAGGCUAAUGCAUUGCCAACUUGUGGUUAUGCCAUGCUUGCUAUUACAUCUUUCGUCGGCAUGGGAGAUAUCGUAACACCAGAGACCUUUAAAUGGGCAGCCAAUGAUCCUAAGAUCAUUCAAGCUUCCACAAUUAUUUGUAGGUUUAUGGAUGAUGUUGCUGAACACAAGGUAUAAUAAUAUAUUUAUAUAAUUACAAGAAACCGAACUCUUAACUAAAUAAUUGAGUGUCUUUGCAAUGAAAUCAAACGAUGGUUUUUAUCAUGAUCUGAAACAAUUAAAGUUUAAUGUUUAUAUAUAUAUAUAUAUAUAUAUAUAUAUAAUAUUUACUCUUAAAUAGAAGAAUAAGAAAAAAAACUAGUUUCAUUUUAACGUUACUAGAGAGGAAGUAUCGUAAAAAAAGGUAUAUAGUGAUUGAAUAAUUUUGAUUUUAUUACGGCUGCAGUUCAAGCAUAGGAGAGAAGACGAUUGCUCAGCAAUCGAGUGUUACAUGGAAGAAUAUGGCGUAACAGCACAAGAGGCAUAUGAUGUAUUCACCAAGCAUGUUGAGAGUGCUUGGAAGGAUGUAAAUCAAGAGCUUUUGAAACCAACAGAAAUGCCAACCGAGGUUUUGAACCGUAGCCUAAACCUUGCAAGGGUGAUGGAUGUACUUUACAGGGAAGGCGAUGGCUAUACAUAUGUUGGAAAAGCGGCUAAGGGUGGAAUCACUUCAUUGCUCAUUGAACCAAUUGCACUUUGAAAUUAUGUUAAUUUUUCCUCUCCAAGCUUGUUUCCUAAGAAAUAGUUAUUAAGUUCUAAUUAAUAAUGUUUUAUAAUAUUCAUAUAUUAUAAAAGAAAGUCCAAAUCUAUUAUCUUUGUACUUAUUGCCUUAUAUUAAUUCAAUAAAGUUCUUUCCAAACUUUUCAUUGUGAAUAUCUUCUAUUUUAUAUAUUAAUUGAUUUUUUUAUAUAUUUUUUUGGUAUAAAAUAAUAUGUAAUAUAAAAAUAAGAUCAGUUAUAAAUACCCGAAUUAAGAUUAAAAAAAAUCCACUAAACACUACCACCUAAAGUUUAUUAAGAUAAGUUUUGAAUUAUUUAUUUAUUUAUUUCGGUAUAUCAUUAACUUUGAAAAAUAAAAUAUUUGAGAAAUUAUUUUAUGAAUCUUUCCCACUACAUCAUUUAGGGUUUAUUUCCAUUUUUGGUAUAAUGACAUUUCAGCAACUUUUUCCAUAUCAUUAACAAAAUUUUGGUAUUUUUUUUAACCCUAAACCUUGAACCAUGAAUCUUAAAUCCCAAACCAUAAACCUUGAAUCUAAAACCUUAAAUCCCAAACCCUGAACGUUGACCUCAAACCCUAAACCUAAAUAUCAAACUCUAAACCCAAACUCAAACUUUAAAUCCCAAACUCGAAUCUUGAACCUUGAACCUUAAAUCCUAAAUUCUAAACCUUGAACAGUUUCUAGUUUGGGGUUCAGGGUAAAAUAAUUACCAAAAUUAUAUGUCAGUGACAUGAAAAAAUUACUAAAAUAUCAUUAAAUAACUGGAAAUGGACCAUAAAUAAUAUGAUCAGAAUGAUCCAUAAAAAAAUUUCUCCAAAAUAUCGAAUAUUAAUUUCCACUUAAAAGUCAACAAAUAUAUAACCAAUCCCAAAAAAUCAAUAGUGAAAUUCAAAUUUGUGUUACACAAUAUGUUGCAUCACAUGUAAUAAAUAUUGUAAAAAGAUAAACGUCUUUUUUAAGGAAACUAUCAAAUUUAACCAUUAGUAGAUGAUAAAAGUUUUUGUAAUCAAAUAAAUUAUAUUAUAAUUUAUGUUAUACAAAAUUUGGUAAUAAAAUAAAAUAUAUUAUAAUUUAUGUUAUACAAUGUAGUAUAAUAUAUAAAAAUAUUGUAAUGUUGUAGUAUAUUUUGUAAUGACUAUUUUCACCAACCAAAAUAUAUUAUUUAAAUUUGAAAUAACGUAAAUGUUAAGUUUCUAAUAUAUAAUAUUAUAUAUGUACGUAUGUAUGAGUCAAGUACUGACGGCUACCAAAACAAAAUGUUUUAAAUCAAAGAAAAAAAAAACAAUGAGUAUAUUAUAUUAUUAGUCACUAAAUUAUAAGUAAAUUUUUAUUUUGGUCACUUAAUUAAAAAAGUUACAAAUUAAUUACAAAUGUUUUCUAGAUUUUUUUUUUGGUCACUUGACUAUUAAGUGACACUUUUUAGUUAGUAUAAUUACAAGUUUGGUCCUUGAUUUUUAUACUUUAUGUCAAUUUGACCCUAAUGAUGUAGUCGUAAACCAACUAAAAAUCUGACUAAGGCAAGUGUACCUAUCAAUUAAUAGUAUAGCUACGGUGAGCAAAUAUAUCGUUCCCACGAUGACUAAAAGUAGUAGAAAUUACUAUCUUUGUAUUAUUUAAUCGAUAAAUUCGAAUGAUUGAUUGAAAAUUAAAAUUAUCUAAACUAAUUGCUAAUGAACACGAUAAAAAAUAAUUAAGGAAAAUAAACGAUUAACAACCAAGAAGCGAAACAAUACCCAAGAAAGAAUUCACCUAGGUUUCAUCUGUUAUUAUCAAUCUAAAUUACGUAAUUUCUUCACUUUGUAUCUUGAUCUGUAGAAAUCCCUAAAUUAUGUUAAUAUCUCUCUUCAAGACUAAGAGCAACUGACUCUAGGUUGAUUAAUUGAAAUUUCUUUCUAAUUAAAACCCAUAUUACUGCAUUAACUCAAUCUAUGAAUCCCCCUAUUAGAUUUCACUCUACUGUAAUAUAUUUAUGUCGUCCUGUUUCUAGGAUUGCAUGCAACUUCACUCAAUUAUGCUAGAUCUACUUUUAGACAAGGUAUAUUCCUCAUCUGAUUUAAGCACAUCAAACAUGAAUUAAUAAUUUAGAAAUAUCAAACUAAGAAUUAAGCACACAUAAUUGAGAACAAGUGCAAUACCCCGAAAAUUUACUACAUUAAGAAAGUAAUAUAAUAUCCCUGAUAUAGUAAAAUAAGGAAAUAAAGUGAAAAAGGGGUAAUUUUGAGUUAUGUCAACAUUGGGAAGUAUAUUAUGACAUAUUAAUUCAAGAAAGGAUUAAAUCGUAAAAGUGAGAAAAGUUUUGUUGCCCAAGAGUAAAUAUUCAAAAUUUGAGGGGUUAAAAUGUAAAUAUGAAAAAGUUGAAGGACCAAUAGUGUAAAUAUUUUAAGGGUGGAAUGAUCUAGAAAUUAAGGAAAAUGGAUGAAUUGGGACCAAAUUGAAUAGGUGAAGAAUUAUGAGGACUAAAUCAUAAUUUUACCAAAUUAAGUGAUGACUCAAGGAUGAAAUUUUAAAAGAUCAUAAAGGGCAAAAUGGUGAAUUAGAAGAAAGAGAAAUCUAGAAGAAAAUGAUGAUGUUGGAGAUAUUUUAGAUUAAAUAAAUAAAUAAAUAAAUAUUAGUUUAUUAAUAUUUUAAUUUGAUUUUUAAAUGAUAUUUUAUUAUUUUAUUAUUAUUCUAUUUAGUAUAUAUAUGGAAGGAAAGAUGAAGAAUCAUCUUCUUCUUCCCAUGCAUCAAUGUAUGAAGAGAAAAGAAAGAAAGAAACUUUCUUUUCUUUACAAUUUGGUCCUUUCACCAAAUAUUCGCCAUUUUCACUUAGAAAUCAAAAAAAUUUCCAUAUCCAUCAAGAGAGAAAGAUAACAAGGAGACUAUGGGGAGUUAGAAUAUCAAGUUAGAUUCAAGCAAUAGAAGCUGGGGGAGAAAGAAAAUCAAGUUAAAGUUUGAAACUAAGAGGACAAGAUAAGAACAUCAAGAUUUCAAUAUAUUUUGAAGUUUGAUAUUAUUGAAAAAGCAUGAAAAUGAUGUUAUAGUAAAGUUUUCUUAUAUAAGAUCUUAUGUUCUUGAUAUAUUAGUGAAGGGAAAUAAGUGAAAGUGAUGGGAAAUAUUAUAGAGAAAGGGAAUAAGGGAGUUAUAAACUUAGUAAUCAACAUCUUGCACUAAAACAGUUUUGGACAGAAGUAGUACGUUAAAUUUGAAAAAUCAUCAUAAAUCGUAGAAAUCGAAUUAGAGGAUGAAAAAAUAUGGAAUUAAAGCUUAUUGAGUCUAGUUUUUCAUAAAAGAAACAGUGUAAGUAAUAGAAUUGUAAAUCAUGAGAUAUAAUAAAUUUUUUGAGACAAGGUCAGAAUGAAUUCGGGUUUCCCUAUUCUGACUUUGGAAAAUAAUUAAAAAUUGUAUAAAAAUAAUUGUGGGUUAUAAUUUAUAUGUUUAAAAUUAUUAAUGAAUCUACCCUCAGUAAAAACAAAUGGGAACAUCAUCCAAAUCUCGUACGAGGAGAUAAUUAAUUUUUAGUGAAGAAGGGUUGAAACUGUCAGACAGCAGAACAGGGAUGCCUUUAAAGAAUAAACUAUACUUAUUGGCUAAACCAUAAAUUCUGAAAAGUUUAUGGUAAGAAUAUAUGUGAGUUUAGUUUCAUAUAAAUUUAGCAGAUCUUAAUUUGGAGUUCCGUAGCUCAAGAUAUAAAUAAUUUAGUGACCAUGACUCAAGUGGACAGCUUUGAAUGAACAUAUAAAUAAAUAGUGAAAUUAUAGAUAAUGUUACAUAUAAGCAUGUUAUAAACAUUAAGGAUGUGGAAUGGAGAGGAAGAGGAGGAAAAUAUAUGAUUAUUCAACUAGCAUGAGUUUUCAUUAAAAAUGGCUAAUUUGCAUGCUUUAGGUUUAGGGACUAAAUUGAAUAAAAGUAAAAUUUUAAGGGUAGAUUUGUAAAAAUAUCAAAAAGUGACCAAAUUGAAUGAAAUAUUAAUUUAGAUCUAGAUUGGGUGGAAAUUCGAGGAAAAUAAAAAUUACCAAAAUGUCCUUGAAUUUUGGUAUUUUUGCAAUUUAGCCUGGUAAGUUCGUAUGAACUAUAUUCUGUAUAAUUUUAAUUAAAGUGAAUGUUAUUUGGUGAUGAAUAUUAUAUAAAUAUGUGUUUUAUUAUUGGAAUUGAAUUAUUAUUGGUAAUAUGUAUAAUUAUUAGAUGCAUUGAAAUUAUUAUCGGAAGCUCGAUUGGGUUGGAAGCUUGUCGGAGAUAUAUCACACUAUCCAUUGGUUCUAUCGGUAAUUUUGGAUGAUUUGAUUCUGGUUAUAAUGGAAUGUAUAAGUUAAAUUGGCCAACGUUAGCUCAUUAAUGUUUAGAUUUUAAUUGGUUAUAAAUAUGAAUGCUUGAUAAAAUGAAAUGUCUGUAAAUUAAUUUGUAAACUCCAGUAAUGCUCUAUAACCCAAUUUUGGCGAUGGAUACGGGUUAGGGGUGUUACAACAAGAUCCAAGUAUUUAUUGCAUAAAAAUAGAAAUCAAAUAACAGAAUCUAUCUUAGGGUUCAUCUCCCUAGGUAUUUUGAAAAUUAGUUCAUGAUAACAAAUAAAAACAUUCCAAAGACAAUAUAACCACAAGAAAUAAAGAAACUCUUAAUAAACUUCAAAGAAAUCAAAAGGAGAUCUUUAAUCCUGAUGGAAAUUUGCUUCAGAGUCAGCUUCAAUGGUGUUUUUCGAGUUAUUUUCUUGAGUAUUUAAUGAUAGUCCUCUCCCAUCUUCUUAUUUUUGUCAUGUAUAGGUCUUAAAAUGUUCGAAAAACCUAUAAAAAAAUUUCUCGCGAGUUUGGAGUGCGAUUCGCUAUUUCCACACGGGUUGGCACAUGACCGUGUGGCAACUCAUGUGGCUUAGAUGGUCAUGUGUCCAGCCCAUGUAGAACGAUCUAGCUUGUGUGGCUCCUAAAACCUGUUCUGAUUUUCGCUCCUUUCCAAAUGCUCCCCUAAAUAUAAAAACAUGAAUUUAAAGGAUUAGGAAUAAAAAAUUCACCAUUUAAAUCGAAUAAUCAUCCAAAAACCUUUAAUGUGCUUUAUAUUAGUUUAAUUCUACUUUAUAAUUUGUUCAGGCAUGUAUUUGUGAUUAUACUAUAAUCACACCGUAUUGUACUUGUAAACUAAAACAAAAUUUAUAAUUUCAUAUUAUUUUUUUAAUAUUAGUUUUACAUCCUCACUCAUCAAGUAAAUUUGGGUUAUAAUUAUUUGAUUAUUGAGCUUCUGAAGAUGAAUUUUUUAGGCAUAAUGACUUAUUUGAUCUUUUAAAUUUUUUUUUAAAAAGUCAUUUUAGCCUUCCAUUUAAGUUUUUGUCUCGUUUAGCUGUUAAAUUUGCGUUUUCUACCAAAUCACCCUAAAAUGGAUUAAAAAGCUAAUAUAUGUUAACUUUGUUAGCAUGAUUGCCAUGUGGAUACUAUCUCAACAAUUAAUUUUUUUAAAAAUUUAAUCAUAAAAAAUCAAAAAUCCAAAUCCAAAUUAACCAAAACCCGAAAUAUUUUGAACUUAAAAUGAUUUUAACGAAAAAAGAAAUUAAAUCUAAAAUGAACCGACCAAAAAACCCAAAACCUCAUGUUUAAAUUAUAUGAAUUUAGAAUUAUUCAAAUCAAAAUUCUUAUUCCAAAAUUAUUCAAAUCUAAAAAUUUUAAACUAAAAUAUCCUAAAAAUGUUAAAACUCAGAAUUAAUUGUUCCAAAUCACCCGGCCGCUCAACUGAAUGAUCUAAUUAUAGGUAAUAAUUGAAGCUUGUUUAAUUACUAAUUGUUUACUAAUUGUUUUACGAUUUUUGUUAAGUUAAAAGAUAAUUUAUUAAUUUUAUAUGAUCCAACAUAGAGGUGCUCAUGGGUUGGGCGGCCCGGCCCGACGGCCCGCCCGAAAUUUGGGAGGGUUCGAGUAAAAAUAUAGGCCCGAAUUAUGGGCUUGGGCAAAAAAUAAGGCAAAAUUUUUUUGGCCCGGGCCCGGCCCGGCCCGGCCCAGAUCUAAUUAAUAUAUAUUUUAUUUUUCAAUUUUAUUAUUACAGUUACAUUUCCCAAUUCCCCUCCCCAUUUCCCAUUUCCCGACCCCGUGUAUCUGUAAAUCCUUAACCCCUUCCCUCCUCCCUUUUUUUCCCCCAAAUCGAAAACCCACCUCCACCGAUCCACCAUUCCACCUCCGGUGUCCGGUCCUCCACAACUCCACCUCCACUCUAGCCUUCAACGUGGUAGAAUUUCAAAGGUAAGUUUGCUUUUAACCCUAUUUCUUGUUAACGGUUUUCUAAUUUUUCAACGUCUUCUCCCCUUUUUGCUUUUUGAUUUUGAUUGUGAUUUUGAUUUUUGCUGUUAACGAUUUUCUGAUUUUGAUUUUGAGACACUGAAUCUUGGGGGAUUUUGAUUGUGUUUACACUUUACAUAUUGUUCUAUUUUUUUUUAGUUCUUUUGCGGAUUAAUGUGAUUUUCUUUUCUUGAAUGAUGAUUGUUCUUUUGUUGCAAAUUCGUUCUUUUAUUAAAACCGAAAAAGGAAGAAAAUCAAUAGAAUUGGAUUUAGGGUUUAUGGAAUCUAAAAAAACUGAAAAAAUAACCCUCCAAAUUGACUGCUUAAAUUAAACUAAACUAAUAUGUCACUGUCAUUAACAACAAUUUUCAUUUUGGAUGAGAAUUAAGAGCAAAAUUGUAUUAUUCAAUUAUUAUUGGAUGAGAAUUGAUUUAUGUUUUAUAGAACAUGUAAUUUGCAGGGCUGAAUUCUGAGAUCACAUACAAGUAUAUUUUUUCUGCUUCUUUCAUGCAUGCUGGUUCACAAACAGUAGGUGGUAGCCUCGUUAAGGCUUGUGGUAGCUUGGGUGCUAUUAAACAAGGUAAGCAAGUUCAUGGAAACUUUUUAGUAUCACCCUAUUUUGAUGAUGAUGUUGUUAAGUCAUCUUUGGUUGAUAUGUAUGCAAAAUGUGGAUUACCUGAUGAUAGUCGUUUAGUUUUCGAUUCUAUUAAGUUGAAAAAUAUGGCUUCUUGGACUGCUAUCAUAUAUGGCUAUGCUAGAAAAGGAAGAAAAGAAGAGACUUUGGAGUUGUUUUUAAGGGUUCACCUGAAAAAUUUGUUUGCUUGGACUGCUUUGAUAUCUGGGUUAAUACAGAGUGGAAAUGGGGUUGAUGCAUUUGGCUUGUUUGUUAAUAUGAGAAGGCAAGGGAUUAUUAUAAUUGACCCUCUUGUGCUUUCAAGCAUUGUUGGUGCCUCUCCUCAUUUAGCGAUGUUGGAAAUAUAAGUUUUACUUAAAAUCAAAAGUUAGUUUUUUUCUUUCUUUCUCUGAUCUUUACUGUAAAUAUAAGUUUGAUCUAUUGUAGUUAAAUAACUAGUUUAUUAUACUGUUUUAACAUAUUGUUUUAAUAUAUUGUUUUAGUAUACUGUUAUAAAUAUACCAUUUUAAUAUAAUGUUUUAAUAUACUGUUAUAAAUAUACUGUUAUAAAUAUACUGUUUUAGUAUACUGUUAUAAAUAUACUGUUUUAAUAUACUGUUAUAAAUACUACACCUUAAUUAUUAAUGUAAUAUACUGGUUUAAUAUAUUAUUAUAAAAUUUGUAAUAUACUAUUUUAAUAUAUUGUUAUAAAUUAUCACAGUGAGACCAGUUAAAUUAUCAUAGUUGUCGAAAUCGUUUUUUGAAAAACAAAAAUUUAGUUGUCGACUUUAAAAAUAAAAUUGGAGUCGCCACUGAUCCUUUAUUAAGGUGUGAUCGGCUCACCUUAAAAAUUAUUUUGGUCUACGAAUUUUGAGAAAACGAGUUCGGGAGUCAGUUACGUACGAGGAAGGGUUAGCACCCUCGUAACGCCCAAAAUCGGUACCAAAUUGAUUAUUUGAUGUCUUGGUGUCGAAAGUUAAAAAAGAUUUUAAAAUAAGCUUGAAUGAUGAAAUUUGAAAAAUGAUAAUCAAUUGUUCAAGUCAUGUAAAGAAACUGAGUCCCAAUACGUUAGGGUACAAUUCCUCAUAAUCCCCGAACUUUGAAUAUCACUUUUAUUUUAUGCAAAAAUCUUCAUUUCGAGAAAGUAACAGGCCACACCCAAUACGUUAGGGCACAACAAGUUAAGUUCCCAAAAAUGAUUUUUAUGCUCAUGCAUUUUGAAUAAAGAAUAUUCUCAGUCAUUUAAGAUUGACAAAGAAAAUCAGAACCCGAUACGUUAGGGCUCAAUUUUCCUCGAAAAUCCCAAACUUCAAAAAAUGCUUUUAUUCAAAAAACCUUUAAAUCAAGAAAAUAACUUUGAUGAAUGGUUAAAACUAAAAUGUAUUUUUAAAAGGGUACGUUAAAAAAGUUAAUGUACAAUGUGGUACAGAUACUUUAAUUCACAACAUAUACGAAUAAAUAUUUACAAAUAUAUAUAUACAAAUAUAAUAUAACAAUAAAGUUGCAAACAUAUGUACACAUAUAUCAAAAACACAUAUACAAGUAUACAUGCAAAUAGAAGAAAUGAAAUAUAUCCAAUAAAACAAACAAAAAACAUGUAUAAAAAGAAAAUAAAAGUAUAAAAGAAAAUGCAUAUGUAUAUAUUUUCAGAAUAAAGGAAAAAUAUAUAAAAAAUAAGAAAAUAAAAUAAGGAUAUAAGGAAAAACGUAUGUAUAAAUAUAUGCAUGUAUAUAUUAUAUAAAACAAAUGCGCAUGUGUAUGUAUUUUACGAAAAACAUUUUUUGAAAAUGAAAUUCACAAAAUAUAUGUUUUGUAAAAAAUAUGAAAGAAAAAAAGAAAAUUAUAUAUAUAUAAAAUGUGCAUGUAUAGAAAACCAAUAUAUGUAUAGAUAUAUAUAUUAUAUAAACGUGUGUAAAUGUAUAAGAAUACUAGAAAAACUAAAAAAAAAAUGACUAAUGAAGGAUUAAAUCAAAAAGAAUCUUAAGGGCCGAAUUUAAAAUAAAAUUUUAAAAAAGGGGCCACUUGAAUGCGCGCGUAACAGUGGAGGACCAAAAAGGAAAUAUGCCCAUUGAUCCCACGGCACCGUUUCGACGUAAUCUACAGUCCUGGUUGAUGAACCAAAUUGAAACAGGCGCGAAAUUUUGUGGCAAAAUUGCAAACGUGCGAAAUACUACAUUUAAAAUCAAAAUAAAAUAGGAAGGACCGGACGUGCAAAUAUCCCAUAUGACGUCAGAACGCGCGAAUCCUCCCCUCCGGGUCGGGUCACCGCGCAGGUCUGGCCAUUCAAAACGGCGUCGUUUUGAUCUGUUAUUUAAAACAGAAUUUUCUUUCUAAAACCAUUUUAACAAAAUGAAAAUAAAUAAAUCAAUAAAUCCCCCCCUUUUGCUCUGCUAGGGUUUCACCCCUAGCGUCCUCGCGCUGCCGCUCGCCUGGCCAACGCUCCGAUCGCGACGGAGGUGGCCACCGAUCCGGCAUUCUCAACGAAUGGGGUAAGAUCCUUUCCCUUGCUUUUAUUUCUAAAAAAACGCAAAAAGAAAAGAGAAAUAUAAAAACAACAGAAUGGAACCCGAUUCACCUUUUUAAAAACUUUGUAUUUUUAAUAUUUUUCUUUUGUAUUUCUCUGUAUCCACUCUCUGUUAUCCCCCUUUUACAAAAUAACAGUGGCUUUAUAUAGCCCAAAAACUAUUUGUUGCUUUUUAUUUUACACUAUAUUUUCGCGGAUGGACUCUCUGAGUCCGUGUUUGCAGGCGAGAGUGGAUCAAAUGGCGCGCGUGGAGAGGUCAGCCCUGAGACGUGUGGCGCUUGGAAAGGCUGCUGAAGGCGGGGAGGCUGCGACGCUCGCUUGCUGGUACUAUUUUAGGUGUAUUGGGCUAGGGUUUAGGUUGGGUAGUGUAUUGGGUCUUGUUCAUUAGCUUGGGCCUGAGUGUUAUAACGUGAAAUGGGUUUUAGAUUGAGCCUGGGCCGAUUGGGCCCUAUUACAGCUGCCCCUCUUUGCUCAUUGUCGUGUAACGGGAAUAGAGCAAAGACUACAGGGCCCAAUUGUCCCUUGUCUUGUGGAGCCUCAACUUCUUCAAUGCUUCUCUUCUUUAGGUAGCCACGUUCCUUCCUGCUGCAUCUUCAGGGGUAUAGGCACUGGUGCUCCAAUCUACUCCACUGCAAUGUCGGGGAGAUAGGAUUUGUAUGCUGUAGCUUCUUAAAAGGACAAAAUUUGCUAUUUUUAAUCUGCUCCACUGCAACUUCAGGAAGAUAAGACUUGUAGCUUCAAUUUGUUCUGCUACAACUUAAAGAUAAAUCUUGGCGCGAUCUGCUCUGCUGCAACUUCAGAGAGAUGAGAUCUGUGGUUUUAAUCCACUCCAUUGCAACUUCAAGGAGAUAGGAUUUGUUACUUCUGUCUGCCCCACUGCAAUUUCAGGGAGAUAAAACCAGAUAUAAUUUGCUCUCUGCGACUUUAGAGUAAUGGGAUCUGCUGCGCUUGAUCUACUUCACGCCAAUGAAGACAAGGUCUGUUCUCUUCGAUCUACUCCACCACCAGUAUGGGGAGACAAGAUCUGUUGUCUUUGAUCUACUUCACGCCAAUACAUGAAGACAAGAUCUACUUUUUCCUUCGAUCUACUUCGCCACCAGUAUGGGAAGACAAGAUCUGUUGCCUUUGAUCUACUUCACGCCAGUACAUGAAAACAAGAUCUGCUUUCUUCGAUCUGUUUCGCCACCAGUAUGGGAAGACAAGAUCUGUUAUCUUUGAUCUACUUCACGCCAGUACAUGAAGACAAGAUCUGCUUUCUUCGAUCUGUUUCGCCACCAGUAUGGGAAGACAAUAUCUGUUAUCUUUGAUCUACUUCACGCUAGUACAUGAAGACAAGAUCUGCUUUCUUUGAUCUGCUUCGCCACCAGUAUGGGAAGGCAAGACCUGUUACCUUUGAUCUACUUCAUGCCAGUACAUGAAGACAAGAUUUGUUUUCUUCGAUCCGCUUCGCCACCAGUAUGGGAAGGCAAGAUCUGUUAUCUCUGAUCUACUUCACGCCAGUACAUGAAGAAAAGAUCUACUUUCUUUGAUCUGCUUCGCCACUAGUAUGGGAAGGCAAGAUCUGGUAUCUCUGAUCUACUUCACGCCAGUACAUGAAGACAAGGUCUGUUCUCUUCGAUCUACUCCACCACCAGUAUGGAGAGACAAGAUCUGUUAUCUUUGAUCUACUUCACGCCUGUACAUGAAGACAAGAUCUGCUUUCUUUGAUCUGCUUCGCCACCAGUAUGGGAAGGCAAGAUCUGGUAUCUCUGAUCUACUUCACGCCAGUACAUGAAGACAAGAUCUGUUAUCUUUUAAUCUGUUCCACUGCUGCUCAGGGAGAUAAGGAUUUAUGAUUCCACCGACCUGUUCUCUGUGGACAAUGACCUGUAUGAUGAACCUAAUUAUGCCUAGUGAUUAGGAUAUCAUGAUUGGAAUGAAUCACAUGCUCCUAACUAGGCGUGUAUGAAUGACAUCUAAAUGCUAUGUCAUGAAAAUGAUUCAUUAAUACUAAAUAUUGAAGUCGUUAUUACUCAUUAAGGCUUUCUUUGUGAUAACAACGCUUCGAAAAAACUCAAAAAUUCUUGAUCCGGCUUUUUACUCCUAUAUAUCUUCGACCUUUUAACCCGGUGAAGUCUAAACAAUAGUCCUGCUUCAGGUUCUUGUAUUAUUUAGAAAUUUCCAGAGUAAUAUGAAAAACUUCCCUUGUGAAAGUUUUAUUAGUCCAUUAAUCGUUAUUCUAAUGCAACAUGCUUUCGAAAAGAUCAUAACGAUGGAUAAAACGAAAUUGACUUGAGAUCAUAACUUGCAAUAAAUUAUUAAUGAAAACAAGUCAAAAAAAGAAAUUGACUAAAACACUUAUAUUGAAAAAGAAUGAAGUGUUUUGGAAAUACAAAUUAUGGACAAGUGCCCCAGAUAUCUUUGCUUGAAUUGCUCUAUACAACUUUCUAAGGACCCUUCUGAAUUCAACACGUGUUUAGGAGAUUCAUAGUAUUUUGUUGAUGCCCCAAGAUGUCAUCUAUUCCUUUCUGCCGAUUUAGGUACAACAAGACUACCACGUGCUUCAAUCAGACUUUGAGCCGUCCUUGUCAGGUUUUCAACUCAAACCCCUUUGGUCUUAAGGUGCCCUUUGCGGGUUUUCACCCUAGCCUCUCCGUUUUUUUUUUUGGAAUCAAAGCGCCCUUUGCGGGUUUUCACCUUGGUUCCUUCCCUUCUUCAAGUAAAGUAUCUCUUGACCGAAUCUGAAUUUACUGGAUUAGGCAAGUUUCUUCCAUCCAUUUCAGCCAGGAUCAGGGCUCCUCCAGAAAAGGCCUUUUUUACAACAUAAGGACCCUCCCAAUUCGGCAUCCAUUUCCCCCUAAAAUCUUUUUGUAAAGGAAGAAUUUUUCUCAACACCAAGUCCCCCUCGUGAAAUUCUCUGGGUCGGAUCUUCUUGUUGUAGGCUCGCAUCAUUCUUUUCUGGUACAUCUGACCAUGCUGAAUAGCCUUUAGCCUUUUUCCCUCUAUCAAGUUCAACUGAUCGUAUCGAGAUUGAACCCAUUCUGCUUCAUCCAAUUGUAGCUCAGUCAAAACCCGGAGAGAAGGGAUUUCAACUUCGAUGGGCAAGACUGCCUCCAUGCCAUAAACUAAGGAGAAAGGCGUUGCCCCGGUGGAGGUCCUGAUUGACGUUCGAUAAGCAAUGAGGGCAAACGGUAAUUUCUCGUGCCAGUCCCUAUAAGUCUCAGUCAUCUUCCCCACAAUUUUUUUAUAUUUUUAUUAGCCGUUUCCACUGCACCAUUCAUUUUUGGGCGAUACGGCGAUGAAUUGUGAUGUCUGAUCUUGAAUUGACUGCAGACUUCUGCUAUUGAGCUGUUGUUCAGGUUCAGCGCAUUGUCAGAUAUGAUUCUUUCAGGCAUUCCAUAUCGACAUAUGAUCUCCCUUUUCAAGAACUUACUGACUGAUGACUUUGUAACGUUAGCAUACGAAGCAACUUCUACCCAUUUGGUGAAGUAGUCAAUAACCACAAAUAUGAAACGAUGCCCAUUUGAAGCCUUCGGCGAUAUUGGCCCGAUGACAUCCAUACCCCACAUGGAGAAAGGCCAUGGAGAAGUCAUGACAUGAAGAGGCGAAGGACGUGCAUGCAUUUUAUCACCAUAGAUUUGACAUUUAUGGCACUUUUUGGAGUAAUUGAUGCAAUCCCCUUCCAUGGUGGACCAGUACUACCCGAAUCUCAUAAUCUGUCUAGCCAUUGUGAACCCACUGGCAUGCGUUCCACAGAUGCCCUCAUGGACUUCCUCCAGGAUUUUCUUUGCUUCCACGGCGUCCAUACAUCUUAACAGUACCUGAUCUUUUCCCCUCUUGUAUAAGAUCUCCCCAUCUAAGAUGUAAUCAAUGGCUAGUCUUCUCAGAGUUCUCUUUUCAUUCUCCGUUGCCUGACCAGGAUACUCACGGUUUUUUACAUAUCGCAGUAUAUCUUGAUACCAGGGGAUAUCAUUGAUUUCUUCUUCUUCGAUAUUGUAACAAUGAGCCAGAGCUUCGUAGAUACUCAUUUGGAUAGGCUUCAUGUCUUCUUGACGGUUCACUUUAAUCAUGGAGGCUAACGUAGCUAGGGCAUCAGCCAUCUAGUUCUCAUCUCGUGGGAGAUAGCAAAAAGUGAUGUCCUCAAACUCUUUAAUCAAUUCAAGGACCAGCUUUCAAUAAUUGACUAAUUUGGGAUCCCUCGUUUCCCAUUCACCCUUGAGCUGAUAUAUCACCAAUGCUGAAUCUCCAUAGACCUCUAGCACUUUGAUUCUUCGCUCUAUAGCUGCACGAAUACCCAUGAUGCAUGCUUCGUAUUCUGCCAUGUUGUUUGUACAAUCAAAAUCCAAUUUGCAAGUGAAAGGAUAAUGAUCACCAUUCGGGGACACCAGGACUGCCCCAAUUCCAUUGCCCACAGCGUUCGAGGCUCCAUCAAAGUUUAGCUUCCAACUGUGACCUUCUUGGGGAUUUUCUUCAAUAGCGGCUACUUACAACAAGUCCUCAUUCUGAAAAUCAAAACUUAACGGUUCGUAAUCUUUUAAUGCCCUGCUAGCCAGAAAGUCAGCUAUUGCGCUCCCUUUUACAGCUUUUUGACUCACAUAGACGAUAUCGAAUUUAGACAGUAAAAUCUGCCACUGGGCCAUCCUCCCAUUCAAAGCAGUUGACUCCAUCAUAUACUUUAACGGGUCUAACUUUGAAAUUAGCCAAGUCGUAUGGUAUAACAUGUACUGCCUUAAUCUUCGGGUUGUCCAAAUCAGGGCACAACAGAACUUCUCAAUGGGCGAAUAUCUCAUUUCACAGUCAGUGAAUUUCUUGCUGAGAUAAUAUAUUGCCCUUUCUUUUCUCCCCGUUUCAUCAUGCUGGCCUAGCACACACCCCAUGGAAUUAUCAAACACUGUCAAAUACAAUAUCAGCAGCCUAUCUGGGCUAGGUGGUGACAGCACCGGAGUAUUGGACAAAUAUUGUUUCACCUUGUUAAAAGCUUCUUCGCAUUCUUCAUCCCAAGUACCAGGGUUAUGUUUCUUCAAAAGAUGAAAUAUAGGGUCACAUUUCUGAGUUAGUUGUGAAAUGAACCUAGCGAUGUAAUUCAGUCUUCCGAGGAAACCUCGAACUUCUUUCUGAGUGCGAGGUGGAGGUAAGUCUCGUAUUGCAUUGACUUUGUCUGGGUCAAUCUCGAUUCCCUUUUCACAGACUAUGAAGCCUAGCAAUUUUCUUGACCUGGCCCCAAAAGUGCACUUCGCUGGAUUAAGCUUGAGUUGGAACUUUCAAAAUCUUAAGAAUAACUUUCUCAAGACCUGCACAUGUUCCUCCUCCGUUCUAGAUUUCACGAUCAUAUCGUCAACGUAAACCUCGAUUUCCCUGUGCAUCAUAUCAUGGAACAAGGCUACCAUAGCUCUUUGGUAUGUUGCUCCUGCGUUCUUUAAUCCAAACGGUAUUACUUUAUAACAAAACGUCCCCCAUAACGUAAUGAACGUAGUCUUUCUCAUGUCCUCAGGAUGCAUCUUUAUCUGAUUAUACCCAGAAACACCAUCCAUGAAGGAAAACAUUGAAAAGCCUGCCGUAUUGUCUACCAAUGUAUUGAUGUGGGGUAAUGGGAAAUUGUCUUUUGGACUAGCCUCGUUCAAAUCCCUGUAAUCCACGCACAUUCGUACUUUCCCAUCUUUCUUUGGAACUGGAACGAUGUUGGCCACCCACUCAAAAUACUUGACUUCUUGCAGAAAUCCAGCAUCAAACUGCUUUUGGACCUCAUCUUUUAUCUUCAACACGAUGUCAGGUCUCAUCCUUCUAAGCUUUUGCUGCACUGACUUGCAAUCCUCUCUUAUAGGAAGGUGAUGGACUACAAUGUCGGUACUCAACCCCGGCAUAUCUUGGUACGGCCAUGCAAACACGUCCUUGAACUCUCGGAGUAACUCGAGGAGGUCUUGUCUUGUCUUUGCAGAGAUAUUCGAUCCGACCUUCACCUCCUUUCCUUCCUCUAAGCUCACAAUUUCUAUUGAUUCCCUGUAAGGUAGGAUUUACUUCUCGGCCCUUUCUACCAUCUUCAACAAGUCAGGAGACAAACCACAGUCUUCGUCAUCUUCAAAAUCAUGUGAUCCUUCUAAACACAUGUUUCGUUCAAAAGGAGACUCUAAAUUUAUAAGUGUGACAUUCGUAUCAUUGAUAUCGUAUGACCUGUUAUGAAAAAUAAUAUGGAUUCAGGAAUUUGUUUGGUGCAAUAUGGUCAUGAAUGAAAUGCAAGUGUAGUUUGAGAGAAAUUCAAAAUAACUGCUCUUAUGGAAAGAAAGAUUUGCUCAAAAAAUGACUGCAAAAAUGAACUUUAUUAAAAUAACGAUUUUUUGGACAUGAGCCUAUUUCACAAAGGAAUCCUUAUCACUUCUAGGCUAAAAGCAAUAAGGGUGUUCUGGACAUUACUAUGAGGAAAUCCUAAAAACUACAGGUAUUUCUUCUGCAGUCCAGUUGUUUAGCACACUUCUCAGUUCGUAAGGUUGAAUAUCCUACAAUGUUCCUCCUCCCGUCGCUUCUUCAUACACGGCAUGAAUACUUUCUAACUCCAUGUUAAUACUUUCGACUCCUAGUAUUCCUUGAUAGAUGAAUCCUCCCAAUACAAAAGUCUUAGAUAGGUGAGGAAAGGUCAUGGGCUCCCAUUUGACUUCAUCACCUGUCAAACGAGCCCUUCUUCUCUCUCGCUUCUUUUCUUGCUCUAUCCUCUUCUGCCUAGCAUCUGGCUUGUAUCCUAAGCCAAAAUGGUCCUGCUUGUCUUUCAAUACUGGAGCCUCAACUCGGCCCUGAAGAUAUUUCCCCAAUCCUUUUCUCGGCAAAGCUCCAUUUCUAAUUGUCAAUUGCAGACCCAUCUUUGUGGUCUUUGAUAUUCUCGGCAUCGGGAUCUUGUUUCCCUCAAGGAUGAAUGUUACAUUUACGAACUCCAAGGAACGGAAAGAGCACUCGAUUGCAUCAUCACUUGUUUCUAAAUAAGGUGCAUCGUUGGUCACAGAUGUAAUGAUAUCUUCUUCAACAUUUAUCGUCACUAGCCGACCUUCUGACACCAGCUUCAGUUUUUGAUGUAAUGAUGACGGUACCGCUCCUGCUGAAUGAAUUAAUGGCCUUCCUAAUAGGAAACUGUAAGAAGGCUUGAUGUCCAUAACCAAGAAGUCUACCUCAUAGCUAGUUGGGAAAAUUAACAAGGGUAUGCCAAUUCUUCUCAUGACUUUCCUCUCGGUGCCAUCAAAUGCUCUCACCAUAUUCUGGUACGACUUCAUAUGUGAACUAUCCACAGGUAGCCUGUUGAGCGUGGAUAGAGGCAAUACAUUCAGUACCGACCCGUUGUCUACCAGAUUUCCUGGUAAUAUGCGCCUUUUACACCUUGCAGUGAUGUGUAAAGCUCUAGUAAAUCCCAUACCCCCAGGUGGUAUUUCAUCAUCGCUAAAGGAGAUGAAGUUAUCAGCGCUUAUAUUGCCGACCAGUCGAUCCAACUUGUUAACAAAGAUAUCAUCAGCCACAUAAGUUUCGUUUAGCACUUUCAGUAGUGCAUUUUGAUGUUCCUCCGAGUUCAGGAGUAAAGCUAGCACAGAUAUGCGAGCUGGUUGUUGGUGCAGUUGUUCCACAACGCUGUACUCGCUAUGCUUUAGAAACUUCAAGAACUCUCUAGCUUCCUCCUCUUUGAUUGGUUCAUUGACCAAUAAUUCAGGUUCGACCGCAUUCUUCCUCUUUCCAACCGAAGCUUCUUCUCUUAUUGGCCCUUCUUGAGCUUCCAUCUGUUCGUAGUGCCUUCCUUCAUCCUGAUCCUCUUUACUGAUUAUAUCCUCUUUCCCCAGGAUUAUCACAUUACAAUCGUGAUUCCAAGGAACCUCUUGUUAUCCUUAUAUGCAAACACAGCCGGUUUUUGAAUGAUUACUUUUGGUGUUAUACGUGCCCCAACCUCACUGUUCUGAGGUCGCGAAAUGAUGACCACAGGAUGGUUAGCCUUCGGAACCCCCAAUGCCAACUCUAACGCGCAUACAUGAUUCUCCUCUUGAACUCCUUCACAGAAUUCCAUCUCCCUAUUAUCCAUCAUACCUUGUAUCAUGGCUCUGAAUUCCGUACACUCUUGGAUUUCAAGCCCCAAUUCAUGGUGGAACUCACAGUAGUUUCCCCUCUUUUCACAACUUCCUUCUGAGACGAUUAGUCCCCUUUUCACCAUCUCCUUCCAGACCCAUCUCAAAGGAGUUUUCACAUCCGCAAUGUCUACCUUGAUUCUUCUAUCUUCGCCCAUCAUAUUUACCCCACCAUCAGUGUGGUUUGGUAUUGGGUUUUCUACCUUGGUCGAGUCAUCAAAUUUAACGACAUCCAUACCAAUGAGCCUUUCUACCAACUUCUUAAAGGCCGUACAGUUUUCUAUGGAAUGCCCUGUUCUUCCCGCAUGAUAGUCGCACUGUGCAUUCACGCCGUACCAUUUGGGGUUGCAAGGGCUUCAGAUAGAAAGGGGAAACUACGUGUGCGUCAAAUAAAUUUCGAUAUAGUUCCCUGUAUGAUAUAGGAAUUGGCGUGAAUUGGGGCCUCUCAAUAUUUCGCCUUGUACCGACCUCUUGUCUCGACGAGCUUUGCUGAUUGGCAGCCACCUUUCCUGGCUGACUCACUGUUAAUGACUUCAAGUAACCUUUGCUGUACAUGCUCGCGUUGUUCACCUCAUUUUCCUUCAUCUUCAAAGCCGAUCUUCUGUUACUCUCUCCCGCAUCGAUCUUCCCAGUCCUAAUGUCAUUCUCAAUCAUCUCGCCAUUCAUGACUAUGUCAGGAAAGCUUUUUGUGGCACUUUCUAACAUAUGUGUAAUAAACGGUGCCUUCAGGGUGUUAAUGAACAACAUGGUCAUUUCCUUUUCCAGGAGCGGUGGCUGAACUUGGACUGCAACCUCCCUCCAUCUCUGUGCAUACUACCUGAAGCUUUCACUCGGCUUCUUCUCCAUGUUUUGAAGGGUGAUUCUAUCAGGAGCCAUGUCUGUCACAUGACGAUAUUGUUUCAUGAACGAUUGUGCCAAGUCCCUCCAUAAACCAAUCGUGGCACGACUCAACUGAUUGUAACAUUUGGAUGCUGCCCCUACAAGGCUGUCUUGGAAACAAUGUAUCAAGAGUUGGUCGUUGCUAACAUAUCCCGCCAUUCAUCUGUAGAACAUAGUGAUGUGAGCUUCUGGGCAACUUGUCCCAUUGUACUUUUCGAACUCCGGCAUCUUAAACUUAUGAGGGAGCACCAAGUCUGAAACUAAGCUCAGCUCUUUGGCAUCAUUGCCUCGAUAACUUUCAGCAACCUCCAUUGCCUUGAACUUCUCCUUGAGCCACUUGCAUCUUUCCUUUAACUGUUUCGGUAACUCCUCCUUCACUCUUUCCUUCUCAACUACUUCAUCAAAGUCUGGAAUGACAGAGUGAAUAAGAUUAUUUUCGAGGUUAGAUCCCGGUCCAGCUUGAAAGCUCGAAACACCAGCCCGAAACUGCUGCGACAUAAUGGUGACAGUAGAUUUGUGCGGGUAUUCAGCUUGAGUUCGCACAUAUGGAGGGGUGAAACCUGGAGGAUAGAGAGGUUCAUCACCAUUUCCCUCAUCGACAUUUUCCAUGGGGCCCUUUCCUUUAUCACUUCCCCUAGUUAUCAAUUGGGUUAACUUUGCCACUAUAUCUUCUUGGGAUUCUUGCAUCUUCUCAGACAUCUCUUGUUUCAUCUUAUCUAACUGCUCCUGCACUUGUAGCUGAAGUCGGUCUUGCAUCUCCUUCUGACACUGUUCGAGUUUUUUCAAUCUCUGAUCCAUAUCUUUUGUUUUUGCUCGAGUGCCGUAUCGAUGUUGGCUUGGUUGGUUGGUUUCCAGGUUAACUGAGCAGUGAUUUUGACUUAUUAGGAUUAAAUAAAAAUCUUUAAUACAUAUAAUGCGGUGCUAAUGCAUAUGAUACGAUGCAUGAGAUGAAUGCAAAAAAAGGCGUUAAUUAUAAUUCAAUUCCAUUCAGAAAACUUUACUAGAGAAUUUUUUUUACAUAAAAUGGCUAUAAAUAAGGCUUUGCCCUAACACUUAGAACUUUAAUCUCCCUAAGUAAUGGUGCCAACUUCUGCCCCUGAUCUGAUUCUGAUUCGUACUUCACACUUAGUAUAUCAGCUUGUAUUGCUAAAGUCUGCAGGUGCUCAACUACCCCUUGAAUCUGUACCACAGCUUCUUCCAUAAUGUGAUCCCUUCUUGCAACUUGAUCCUGGAGAUAGUGAAGUUGUUCACUUUGAUGAUCUUCAUUUGCUUCCAGAUGUUCAAUCCUGGCUUCACAGUUCUGUAAUGCCAUCUCUAAUCCUUCUACUGUUCUCUUCAUCUGCUCGAUCCUGCUCAAGCUUGCUUGCAACUCCAUCACAACAUUGCGAUUUCGAUAUUGAUGAAUAGUUUCCUCUAGUUCGGCCAUCCUAGCUUUUAAUUCAUCAUUUUUAUUCUGGCUUUCUGACAAACUCCUCUCAAAGGACUUAUUUUGCUUUUGAGCCUCCUGAAAUCUCUUUUUCCACCUAUCAGCCUUGACCUUUUCUUCUUGAACUUCUUGACGCCACUGCUCUGAGGUUUUUCCCAACCCAGCAGUUCUCACUAACAUACGUAGUCUCUUAUAAUCCGUCUUCAAGCUAUUCAAAUCUUUAUCGGCUUUGCGUUUUUCUUUUCUCAAGCCUUCGGUUUCCAGCUUCUGAACAUCCAUGUCCAACUUUAAAUUCAUCUUCUCCUCUUCUAUUUGCUCUAUCUUCCUUUCAAGCUCUGAGUUUCUUCUUUCAAAAUCCUGCUUUAUAAUUUCUAGCUCAGAAGGGACCAUAUGUACAUGCUUUUCUACUAAUUGAUUGUCUCCUUGACCUGGUGCAGGUAUAUUAUCAUUGACCCUCCUACCUAGCCACUUGAUAUAUUCAGAAGUCGUCGAUGGACCUACUACCAAUCUCUUCAUUCGUCGAGUCUGCCUCCAAGCAUUUGUCAUUUCUCGAAUCUUCUUCUUGUAACCAUCAUACUUAUACGAGAAUUCACUUUGAGCUAAUCCUUGGGUUGUAGGUACGAACUGCCUCAAUCUAUACUGUCUCAAUACUAGUAAUGGUGCAUAGCUGAUAGCUCCCCAAAUCCCAAGUAAAGGGACCCAAUCGAAAUCUCCACACCUAUACAAGAUCUCAUCUGGCAGCAUCCAAGGAGCUCUCUACUCGAUGUUCUCCUCUUGAAGAUUCUGAAGAAUUACAAUCCAUCUUUCUUCUAAAACACCAUCUUGCCUCGAUAUCGCCAUUAUUUCUUUCAAAGGCGAAUAAGUUUCAGAAAAAACUCGAUAGGAAAAUUUAUCAGCCUUCCAGAAGUGACUGUGAAACCAUGCCAAGAGAAGCUGCGCACAUCCAACGAAUCUUCAUUCACCUACUCUUCGGUAUUCGUUCAAUGACCUAAAAGUUUUUGCUAAAAUUACUGGAACCGGUGUGACUCCUUUACCAAGUCGAUCGAAAAGAUCAGUGACUGCUUCAUCAAUAUGUCCCAAGGCUUUGGGAAAGAUAACUAAAUCGUAAAUACCCAAGGCAAAGACAUCAACCCUCUUCCUCGUAUCCAGAUGUACUAGAAUUAAAUCCUUCAAGCUCUUCCAAGGAAUGCAUUUACUAUCUCCCUUUUGUUUGAUUCGUGCUGCGACCCAUUACUCACUCAUCCCCGUAAUAUUCAUCAAUUUCUUCAAAAAGGUUGGAACAUUAGCAGCUCUCGAGUAGGCUUUAUCUACUUGGAUCUUCGAACAACGAAGCAAGGCCGUAUAUUCCUCCACCGUAGGCACUAAGUCAACUUUUCCAAAGGUAAAGCAACUAUAAGCAGGAUUCCAAAAUUGGGCUAAGGCACGAAAUAAGUGCUUAUCCACCUUUAAGUCGAGCAAGUAAGGUAUGUCUCCAUAGCUAGAGUAGAAGAGCUGUUUAACCUCAUCAGUCCACCUUUCCCAAAUUUCCUUUAGUUCAUGUAGGCUAUUCUGGGUCACGCUAACACGAGUGAAGUCCCACAACUCUGACACAUAUCCUUCGGCCAAACUAUCACCUUUCUCUUGCUGUGUUGUCUCUGACCAAGUUUGGACAGCCGCAUUAUCUUCCACUUUAUCAAGAAACCCUUUUUCCAUGAUAAGCUUUCUAUCUAGCAACCGAAUAUGAACUAACGCCCUUUUAGGAUGAAAUGCUAUGCAAUCAUGAUGUCAUGCAAUCAAAACGAAAGAAACCCAAGUCAGUAUCACAUAUAGAGAUAUAAUCCAAUACAAACAUGAAAUAGCAAGAAACACUUAAUCUAGAAUCCACUAGGGUUUUGGGAUAGUUCUACCUAGGUCAAGUUCCUAAAGCUCACUAUAUGAGGUUUAGUUUCUAGAGUAAGGGUACCCGAACCAGCAGAUUCCUCAAUCCUCACCCAUUAUAGGCUCAUAUGGAUCGAGUUCAGUUCAGGGGGAUACAUUUCCCUAUGGCUGCACGGAGAUGAAAAUCUCACGAAGACAUAGGUACGGAUGUAUCUCGAAAGCGGUCCACUACCCUGCACGGAGGUGAAAACCUCACGAAGGACUAGUUUCUCGCUCCCACUUAAAGGGUCAAAUGCAAAAUGCAAAUGCAAAGUUGCCAACAUAUCAUGAUGAAAAAUCAAUGAGUGCGUAGGGAACUCAUGAAUUUUUUAAAAAUUUUGAUUUUCGACACAAAGACAAAUAUAAUUAGUUUAUGGCUCGACUCUCUCAAGCGUCCCCAGCGGAGUCGCCAAGCUGUCGAAACCGUUUUUUGAAAAACAAAAAUUUAGUUGUCGACUUUAAAAAUAAAAUUAGAGUUGUCGCUGAUCCUUUAUUAAGGUGUGAUCGGCUCACCUUAAAAAUUAUUUUGGUCUACGAAUUUUGAGAAAAUGAGUUCGGGAGUCAAUUACGUACGAGGAAGGGUUAGCACCCUCGUAACGCCCAAAAUCGGUACCAAAUUGACUAUUUGAUGUCUUGGUGUCGAAAGUUAAAAAAGAUUUUAAAAUAAGCUUGAAUGAUGAAAUUUGAAAAAGGAUAAUAAAUUGUUCAAGUCAUGUAAAGAAACCGAGUCCCAAUACAUUAGGGUACAAUUCCUCAUAAUCCCCGAACUUUGAAUAUCACUUUUAUUUUAUGCAAAAAUCUUCAUUUCGAGAAAGUAACAGGCCACACCCAAUACGUUAGGGCACAACAAGUUAAGUUCCCAAAAAUGAUUUUUAUGCUCAUGCAUUUUGAAUAAAGAAUAUUCUCGGUCAUUUAAGAUUGACAAAGAAAAUCAGAACCCAAUACGUUAGGGCUCAAUUUUCCACGAAAAUCCCAAACUUCAAAUAAUGAUUUUAUUCAAAAAAACCUUUAAAUCAAGAAAAUAACUUUGAUGAAUGGUUAAAACCAAAAUGUAUUUUUAAAAGGGUACGUUAAAAAAGUUAAUGUACAAUAUGGUACAGAUACUUUAAUUCACAACAUAUACGAAUAAAUAUUUGCAAAUAUAUAUAUACAAAUAUAACAUUACAAUAAAGUUGCAAACAUAUGUAUACAUAUAUCAAAAACACUUAUACAAGUAUACAUGCAAAUAGAAGAAAUGAAAUAUAUCCAAUAAAACAAACAAGAAACAUGUAUAAAAAUAAAAUAAAAGUAUAAAACAAAAUGCAUAUGUAUAUAUUUUCAAAAUAAAGGAAAAAUAUAUAAAAAAUAAGAAAAUAAAAUAAGGAUAUAAGGAAAAACGUAUGUAUAAAUAUAUGCAUGUAUAUAUUAUAUAAAACAAAUUCGCAUGUUUAUGGUAUUUUACGAAAAACAUUUUUUGAAAAUUAAAUUCACAAAAUAUAUGUUUUGUAAAAAAUAUGAAAGAAAAAAAGAAAAUUAUAUAUAUAAAAUGCGCAUGUAUAGAAAACCAAUAUAUGUAUAGAUAUAUAUAUAUAUUAUAUAAACGUGUGUAAAUGUAUAAGAAUAAUAGAAAAACUAAAAAAAAUUACUAAUGAAGGAUUAAAUCAAAAAGAAUCUUAAGGGCCGAAUUUAAAAUAAAAUUUUAAAAAAGGGGUCACUUGAAUGCGCGCGUAACAGUGGAGGACCAAAAAGGAAAUAUGCCCAUUGAUCCCACGGCACCGUUUCGACGCAAUCUGCAGUCCUGGUUGAUGGACCAAAUUGAAACAGACGCGAAAUUUUGUGGCAAAAUUGGAAACGUGCGAAAUACUGCAUUUAAAAUCAAAAUAAAAGAGGAAGGACCGGAUGCGCAAAUAUCCCAUAUGACGUCAGAACGCGCGGAUCCUCCCCUCCGGGUCGGGUCACCGCGCGGGUCUGGCCAUUCAAAACGGCGUCGUUUUGAUCUGUUAUUUAAAACAGAUUUUUCUUUCUAAAACCAUUUUAACAAAAUGAAAAUAAAUAAAUAAAUAAAUCCCCCCUUUUGCUCUACUAGGGUUUCACCCCUAGCGUCCUCGCGCCGCCGCUCGCCUGGCCAGCGCUUCGAUCGCGACGGAGGUGGCCACCGAUCCGGCAUUCUCAACGAAUGGGGUAAGAUCCUUUCCCUUGCUUUUAUUUCUAAAAAAACGCAAAAAGAAAAGAGAAAUAUAAAAACAACAGAAUGGAACCCGAUUCACCUUUUUAAAAACUUUGUAUUUUCAAUAUUUUUCUUUUGUAUUUCUCUGUAUCCACUCUCUGUUAUCCCCCUUUUACAAAAUAACAGUGGCUUUAUAUAGCCCAAAAACUAUUUGUUGCUUUUUAUUUUACACUAUAUUUUCGCGGAUGGACUCUCUGAGUCCGUGUUUGCAGGCGAGAGUGGAUCAAAUGGCACGCGUGGAGAGGUCAGCCCCGAGACGUGCGGCACUUGGAGAGGCUGCUGAAGGCGGGGAGGGUGCGGCGCUCGCUUGCUGCUACUGUUUUAGGUGUAUUGGGCUAGGGUUUAGGUUGGUUAGUGUAUUGGGUCUUGUUCAUUAGCUUGGGCCUGAGUGUUAUAACGUGAAAUGGGUUUUAGAUUGAGCCUGGGCCGAUUGGGCCCUAUUACAACAGUAAUAGUUUCCACUUUCCAGUAAUAGUUUCUAGUGUUCCUUUACUUUGCUACCAUAUUUCCAUAUUUGGGUUACCUGGGUUGAAUCUUCAUGUAGCUUGGGCAGUUUCUUUUAUCAAUACUGACAUACCAUUUUAGAGCCCAUAUUCCACUAUAUUGGCUUUAAUUGUUGUAAUAAUUUUAUCCAUAGAAUUGCAAUUAUAGAUAAUAUGCUAUACUAUUUUCUCCUUAAUUACGGAAAAAAUAAAUAUCAAAUUGAUUUUCCUUUUUGUACAGGCUACAGUUUGAGGUUAUUUACUUAAGCAAUUUUAUCCCACAUUAGUCAAUGUUUGAGUUUGUUCUUCAAAUAAGUUAUCUUAUUUUAUUUUUUGUUCAUUAUAUACAAAGAAAAUAUAAUUUGAUAUUUAAUAUAAAUUUAAUAACAAUUAAUUUUAAGUAAUGGGCUGGGCCGAGUCGGGCCUGGGCCUUGUACUUUUUCCCCGGGCCGAGCCUAGACAAAACUUCAGGCCCAUAUUUCGGGCCAGGCCGGGCCCGGAUCUAGGACACGGGCAAAAUUUUUUCUGGGCCCGACCCGAACCCGGCCCGGCCCAUGAGCACCUCUAAUCCAACAUCAUAUGAUAAUUUCUUAAUUUUAUAUGAUCCAAUAUCCUAAAAUUAGGUAUAAUGAUUUAUUUUUUCGUUCUUUAUUUAAUUUUUGUUAUUUUAAAUUUGUAUUAUUUAUCAAAUCACCUCAACGAAUAAAAAUGUAAUGUCAAUUAAUUUUACUGAUGUGACAUACAUGUGAAUUGUCACUUGAAUGCCACAUAAGUACUUAAUUAAUUUUUAAAAUGAUUUUAAAAAAUUUUAAAAAUAAAAUUAUAUAAAUGUUUUUCUAUGUUUUGGAAAUUUUAAGAAAUAAUUAAUUGCUAGGUGAAUGUCAUAUUAACAAAGUUAAAAGGUGUUAAUUUUUUCAUUCAUUUUAGGGUGAUUUGACAAAUAAUAAAAAUUCAAGGGUUAAAAGAUAAGGAAAAUUAAAUUAAAGGCUAAUUUUUUUUAUAAAAUUGGAGGGUUAAAUAAAUCAUUAUGCCCAUGAUAUAAUGACGAUGACUUGAAAUUAAAUAAUGUCUAUGAAACCGGUGUAGUUUUCUUGGUUUUGUAUAUAUUCUUUGGAAAUUAUUCGGCUUAUGCUCUUUUUGGAUAUGUAGUAAAGUUAAUUUUUGGUGAAACUAAAAGUAAUAAUUAUGAUGAGAUUAGUUAAUAUAGCGGUAAGAUUAAAAUUAAUAAUGUGAUAUAUGUUUGGAUUCAAACAAAAUAAUAACCAUGAUGUAAAAAUGGAAAAUGAUUAUUGAUGUCAUUAAGUUACAACUUAUGUGCCAACAACCUCUUGACUUAGUGGCAAGAAUACUAUGUUAUAGGCAUGAGAGUUUAGGUACAAUCCCAAGUAAUCUUAUACUCCACUUCCAAUUUUAUUAAAAAAAACUUAUGUAUAUGUAAAAUAAAUAAUUAAGAAAAAAAAUUAAAAUAAAAUAUGUUAAAUUAUUUUUUUGAAAGGUAAAUUCAUUAAUUUAUUCAAUGAAUGGAACCAUACAAUUCAGAGAAAAAAGAUAACAAACACUCAUCGCAGAUGGUGAAGGACAAGCGCCAUCAACACAACAAAGGCUUUAGCCUUAGCAUCAAUAGAACAUUAUGACACAUUGACAAUUGGCUUAAUCACAACUCAAGCACGACAUAUCUGGAGUGAUUGCAAGGACUUAAUAUGAUAAUGAAAUCAACCUCGGAUGGUCCAAAGUGGCGAGCAAAAAUCGACAAAAGAAUCGAGUAUUCACCAAACUAGAGAGGACGACAACAAAAUUUGUAACACCCCUAACCUGGCCCAAACGUUAUGGCCGAAUCUGGGUGUGUUACGAAGAAGGGUUUUAAAACUAUAUCUCUUAAGCUAAAUCGUAUCGUGUUAUUAGUUUACCAAUUGCAGUUUUAAUAACCGGAAAAACUUGGAUUUAAGAUCUUAUUUGAAACCAUUUUAAGUUAUCAAGAAUUUGCAACAGAAGUUUGAAAAAUGUUAAUUCGAAACCAAGCUCGUGUUUCCAAAAACCAUUUGUUAAAACCAUAUGUUUGCGUAAAGUGUUUUUGUUAACAUUGUGGAAAAGAAAGAAAAAUAAAAUCCAAAUCCAAAAGUUAAAACCAUACAGUUCAGAAAGUCCCAAAAAUUACAACUCUCACGAAAACCAGAUUUUGAAACAAAACUGAUAACAUUAAAUAAAAAUAGUUCUCAACCGAGUGGUCACCGUUGAGUCUCCGUCGCAUCGACCCACCUAAGUCUGUGGAUUACCUAAACAGAACAGACAAACAAAUGUGAGUUUUCAUAAACUCAGUGUGUAACCUAACAGAAAUAGUCAUGCAACACACACAGAAUUUCAUAUACAGUCAGAUACAGAUUCAGACCUAAGUCCAUAACAAAUACAGAUUCCCGAAUCAGAUAAUCAAAACAGAUAUAUAUAAUCCUAUCCCCUCCUCUAUACACCAUCUCUGUCUAUCCCAUCACACCAUGUGGGGUUAAAAACACCUACUCAUCCCUACACACCAUAUAGUGUCGAUGCGACACAUAACAGAUAAUAUGCAGUUAAGCUACCAGAAUGUAGGCGAAAGGUCGCCGUAUAGAUUACUUCCUACACAUAUGCAAAUCCCACCCCAAACAUAGAUACAUAAUACCAAAUUAACGGAUUUAACAUGCUUAACAUGCUCGUAUAAAAAUAACAUAUAUAUAUACUCAAACAGAACAGUCAGACAUACAUAUUAGAGUCCCACUCAGAUCAGACUAUCAGAAUACCAUAUCACAUGAAUUAGGGUUGGUUGGCCCUUACCAUCCCUAUGGUAGGCCCACAGUCGAUCGAAACGACCCGUGCGACCCUAGGGAAAAUUUCAGAAUCCUGGGCCACACGCCCAAUCUAGUCUAGCCCGUGUGGCUUACACAACCACACUUACACCAUCACACGGUCGUGUCCCGCACACGGCCACACCUACGACAUUCACAUGAUCGUGUUUAGGGUACACACCUAGUACGAUUUUGUUGUGAAAACACUCCCGAGACAACUAGAACCUAAAAUUGACAUAACAAGCUCUCAAAAUCAGUCUAAAUCCUCAAUUAAACUGAACUAACAAAUUUGACAAUGGUGAAAUUCAAGUUUUCAACACUUACCCGAUUCCUCGAACGAUUCCAACUAUAAUUCCGUAAGAGAAGAACCACGUUCAUCACGAUUCACUGCAGUCAAACCCAUACAAUCAAACUAACAAAAAGCAAAACCGACUUAAAUAAACUUUAACCAAAGCCCUCAAUCUAAGAAGAAACUCACCACUUUCCCUUACCUAAACGUAAAAAGCAAUCAGAGAUUCGUAUUAUCGCAAUUUUGGAAGGGAGAUUUUGACAAAAAUAAGGGAAAAGAAAAAAGAUUUUUGGUGGGGAAAGAAAAGUAUAACAUCAGAAACUAGAAGAGGGAGAAAUUUUUGGGAAAAUAGAAUAAAAGAAAAUAGAAAGAUUAAGUCAAAUCCCACUACAUCCACAUCCCUUAACCACUCAACUAACUCAAAAUCCCACUACCACCAAACCACUAUCAACCGCCACCGCCAAAAAUUAUCACCCACGCUCGCGCGUGAAUUCAAACACAGGACCUCCAACAAACUAAGUCCUUACCACUCGAACCAGCAGGCUCAUUCUAAUAUGAGUUUGCAAACAAUAUAAUAUAAGCCCACCCAACAAGGAUAAUGCUUGGAUCAAAAAUAACAAAAUUUGCCAAAAGGGGGACUUGAACCCAAGACCUCAUACACACACCUAUAACACUCAACCACUGAAGCAGAUACAUAUUUGUGUCAGAUUUCACAAAAAUAGAAAUAAAUUAUUCAGGGUGUUACAACUCUACUCCCUAAAAGAAAUUUCAACCUCAAAAUUUACCUAAUCCGAACAGAUAAAGAUACUACAAACUUAUCAAGUCCUUAUGUUCCCACAUGGCUUCCUCAGUGCCAUGAUUCCGCCACAGAACAUUUACCAAUGGAAUAGAAUUCCUCCUCAUAACCUUAAUAUCUCGUUCCAAAAUCUGAACUAUCUCCUCCUCAAACGUCAAAUUCGGUCUAACAUCGAUCUCCUUAAUAAAGACAAUGUGAGAUGGAUCAGACUGAUACUGCCUCAACAUUGAGACGUAAAACACAUCAUGGAUACAGUCCAACUUUGGAUGUAGCUCUAACUAAUAAGCGACUGGUCUCACACGCUUCAGAAUCCCAUACAACCCAAUAAAUCUAGGGCUCAACUUACCCUUACGAUCGAACCGUAGAAUCUUCUUCCAUAGAGAUGCCUUAAGAAAUACAAAGUCACCCAUAGAGUAUUCGAUAUCCCUCCUUUUUAGAUCCGCAUAGGACUUUUGUCUAUCAGAAGGCACCUUCAAACGAUCCCAAAUCAGUCUAACCUUAUCUUCAAUCUUGGAAACCAACUCAGGACCCAAAAUCCAUCAUUCACUCGACUCAGUCCAACAUAGUGUAGUAUGACACUUACGGCUAUAUAAAGCCUCGUAAGGUGUCAUCUGAAUGCUAAACUGGAAACUAUUGUUGUAGGUGAACUUAGCUAACAACAGAAAAUCCUCUCAGUUACCUCAUAAAUCAAUCACAAAGCUCCGAAGCAUAUCCUCCAGUAUCUAAAUCACCUUUUCAGACAACCAUCAGUCUGAGGAUGGAACACAGUACUGAAAUCCAAUCUCGAACCCAUAGCUUCAUGUAAUUUCUUCAAGAACUGAAAAGUGAAGCGAUGAUCCCUAUCAGAUAUUAUCAAAAUCAAAACCCCAUGUAGCCUCUCAACCUCAGAAAUAUAAAGCUUCGCUAACUUUUGCGAACUUUGUCAAUUGAUCCACGAUAACCCAAACAGAAUCCUUCUUAUUGGGUGUCAAGGGCAACCUACUAACAAAGUCUAUUGUCACUUGCUCCUAUUUCCAUAAUGGAAUCUUAACAGGUUGAAGCAAACCCGAAGGCAAUUGGUGCUCAACCUUAACUUGCUGGCACAUUAAAUAAUAAGCAACAAAAUCUGUUACCUCACAUUUCAAUCCCGGCCACCAGUACAGCUUACGAAGAUCCUGAUGUAUUUUAUUAUCACCGGGAUAUCUAGCAUAAUGGCUACUAUGCGCUUCCCUCAGAAUCGACUGUCUCAGAUCAGAAUCGUUCGGUAUACAAACCCGUCCUCGAAAACAUAGAACUUUAUAUUAUUCAGUCCAAAAUCAAAAGUACUGUCACUCUCAACCUAACAAAACCGCUCAUCCCCUAAAUUCUUUUUCUGGAUCUUCCCAAUCCAAGUUGGCUUAACUUGCAACUCGGCUAACAGACCCCCAUCAUUGAACAAACUAAGACAAGCGAACAUCGCUCUCAAACCAGUCAUCGCUCUCUGACUGAGAGUAUCAGCCACCACAUUGGCCUUAUCGGGAUGAUACUCUAUCUUGCAGUCAUAAUCUUUGAGUAGCUCAAUCCAUCGACGCUAUUUAAGAUUCAAUUCUUUUUUAGUAAGGAAGUACAUGAGACUCUUGUGAUCGGUGUAGAUAAUACAUCUCUCACCAUACAAAUAGUGCCUCUAGAUCUUUAACAUAAAUAUCACCGUAGCUAACUCGAGAUCAUGCAUCGGAUAAUUUCUCUCAUGUGACUUAAGCUGCCGGGACGCGUAAGCCACCACCUUAGACUAACAUGUGACGCAUCACUAUACAUUACAAACUCCUUACCAAAUUCAAGUUGUAUUAGAACAGGAGAGAACAGACUUGAGCUUCUCGAAGCUCGACUGUUGUGCAUUAGUCCAGAUGAAAGGAACAUUCUUGCAUAGAAGUUUAGUCAAAGGAGCUGUAAUUAGUGAGAACCCCUAAAAAACCUCCGAUAAUAACCCGCAAGACCCAAAAAAACUGUGGAUCUCAGAGAUAUUCUUAGGCUGUUUUCACUUAAGCAUAGCCUCAAUCAUUCUAGGAUCAACUCAGAUACCCUCAGCAGAAAUCAUGUGCCCUAAAAAAGUUACUUCUCGCAACCAGAACUCACAUUAACUCAACUUAGCGUAGAGCUAUUUCUUUCAGAGUAUCUGUAGCAUUACUCUAAGAUGCUCAUCAUGCUCAUCCUCAGUCUUAGAGUACACCAGAAUAUCAUCAAUGAAGACUACGAUAAACUAAUCCAAAUACAAUUAAAAACUCAGUUCAUCAGAUCCAUAAAUGCAAUCGGAGCAUUCAUCAAACCAAAGGGCAUAACUAAGAACUCGUAAUGCCCAUAACGAGUCCUAAAUGUCAUGUUAUGACUAUCAGCUUUCUUAACCCUAAACUAAUGAUACCCAGAAUAGAGAUCUAUUUUUGAGAAUACCACAGCCCUACAAAACCAAUCAAACAGGUCAUCGAUCCUCGGAAGUGGGUACUUAUUCUUCAUAGUCGGUUUAUUCAACUGCCGGUAGUCGAUGCACAUCCUCAUGGUACCAUCCUUUUUCUUCACAAACAGAACCGGUGCCCCCAUAGAGACAAACUAGGAUGGAUGAAACCACGAUCCAGAAGCUCUUGAAGUUGAGCCUUAAGCUUUGUUAGCUCUUUUGGUGCCAUACGGUAUGGAGCGAUAGACAUCGGAGAUAUACCCGGUAGAAGCUCAAUGUCAAACUUAACUUCUCGAUUUAGAGGUAAACCUGGUAACUCUUCAGGAAAAGUAUCUAAAAAUCCCCUCACUGUUUUAAUAUCCCCAAUAGAAGAGUCCCCAAAAACUGAAACACUGACAUAGGCUAAAUACGUCUCACACUUUUUCUGAACCAAUUUCUCAACCGCUAGAGCAGAGAUCAUAUUAGAUAGGUAAUCUCGACCCUCACUAAUUACAUCCGUUUCCUUAUCAUCCUCGGUCCUCAGAAUGACCCUUUUAGUCAUGCAGUCCAAACUAAAUCGGUGCUCAACUAACCAAUCUAUCCCCAAAAUUAAGUUAAACUCCCCAAACAGUAGCUCUAUCAGAUUUGCCGGAAACACAACUCCUUAUACUUCCAAUGAAACAUUCCUAUAAAGUCUAUUUACCCUAACAGACUGUCUCAAUAGAGUCAGUACAGUAAUCUCUCCAGAAGUACACUCAACAAAAAUCCUUAAGUUCUCGGAAACAGAACUAGCUACAAAGGACUGUGUAGAACCUAUGUCUAUCAAAACAAUAUAUGAAGCAUCAAAAAUUAAAAACGUACGCGUGAUCAUAUCAAGGGCAACGUUGUCCUCUUGGCAUCGAGCAACAUAAACUAGUGCAGGCUGCCUCACCUCAGUCUGAUUAGUAAUUUUUCCUAGUGCUCUCUGACCUUAGCCCAUACCAUUACCACUCCUAGCCGGUCUACGGUCCUUAGGUGGUUGUUUUACUGCCCUCUGAGGCUAAACAAAGUCCAGUCCUAAAGCUUGCAUCUAAUUAGCAUGAUAUGGACACUCUUUAAUUUGGUGCUCCAAAGACCUACACCGCAGACAAGCUCUUAAUCUCCUCUAACACUCACCCGAAUGGUGUCUACCACAGUCACCACAAGGCUGAAUCUUAGUAGGAGCAAUUGGAACUCCCACUCUAACAGGCCCAUCAGGUCUGGCCCAUUUCUUAGGCCUCUAAACAGAACUAGAGGGCUCUGAAUCCCUCUUAUUCAUGCCUCUCUCUUGGUCUUUAUUCUGGCACUCCACGCGCUUAACCUUCUCAACGAUCUUUGCCUUAUCUACCAAAAUAACAAACUCACACUCUCUCUGCAGAGUAAUCAGAGCGCUUAAAUUAUCCCUCAAAUCGUCUUCAAAAUGAACACAUUUCUCACACUCGAAUGCUACUAUGCCUCGAACGUAGCGGCUCAAUCUUAGAAACUCAACCUAACACUCAGUCACAAACUUAUCACCUUAAGUAAAAUUCAUGAAUUCACGCCUACGAGCGUCCACAUAACUCGUACCCAUAUAUUUUCCCUAAAAAAAAGUCUUAAAGUAGUCCUAGUUCAAACAAUCCAGUUGAGUACCCUCCUCAACCGACAACUAUCACUGAUAUACCUCAUCGCGAAGCAAAAAAAUUGCACCCUUCAAUUUCUGCUUAAGAGUGCAGUCAACGUUGUUCAUAAUCCUCUUGGUAUCCUCCAACCAAUACUCAGCCACAAUAGGGAUAAAUUUAGUGACGCCCCUAAACAAUUUAGCUCUAUUGGACCGGAGUCGUUCAAUUAUUGACCCAUGGCUUCCAAAUCCAAAAUGGGGUCCAAAAACCCUCUUCAACACUCUCAACAUGGCUUGCGACAGUGCGUCGUCCCUAGCUGAGCUGCUUUGAGACCCAGCCUCAGUAGCAGGUGAAAUCGGUGUCUCACUCAUAUCCAAAUUUGGCAUAUUGCCUAAAAAGAAAGACUCAGCUCGAGCCCCCUACGGUGCCCACCGCGCCCAUGAAUACCACGAUUGCGAGUUCCACGAGUGCUCAUCGUAUUUUCAGUUUUAUCUACAUUAUAAAAUUUUAUUCAUUUGUUCUAGUGUUUAUUAGCAGAUAUUUUAUGCUCAAGUUAUCAAAGGUACUUACAGGAUCGACGCCGAAGACUCAGUGUACGAUAUACUUACUCAAAUUGAUCCAAAUUAUUUGAAAACUAGUUUUUUUUCAAAGCAUAAUUUUGGAACCCAAAAUUUACAGCUUGAGUUUUGUAACCUGGCUCUGAUAUCACUAAAUGUAACACACCUAACUCAGCUUAGAUGUUAUGGCUGAAUCUAGGCAUGUUACAAAGAAAGGUUUUAAAAUUAUAUUUCUUAAGCUAAAUCGUAUCGUUUUAUUAGUUUACCAAUCAGAGUCUUAAUAUUAAAAAAAAUUGGGUUUAAAAAUAUAAUUUCAAACCAUUUUAAGUUAUCAAGAAUUUUGCAACGAAAGUUUGAAAAACAUUGAAUUCGAAACCAAGCUCGUGUUUUCAAAAACCAUUUAUUUACGUAAAGUGUUUUUGUCAACGUUGCGAAAAAGAAAGCAAAACAAAAUCCAAAUCCAAAAGUUAAAACCAUACAGUCCAGAGAGUCCCAAAUAUUACAACUCUCAAAGAAAUCAGAUUUUUAAAAAAAAUCGAUAACACUAAAUAAAAACAGUUCUUUGUCGAGAGGUCACCGUUGAGUCUCCGUCGCACCUACCCGCUUAAGCCUAUGGAUUACCUGAACAGAACAGACAAAAAUAGAUGUGAGUUUUCAUAAACUCAAUGUGUAACCUAACAGAAAUAGUCAUGCAACAUACAUAGAAUUUGAUAUACAGUCAGAUAUAGAUUCGGACUUAAGUACAUAACAGAUAUAGAUUCCCGAAUAAGAUAAUUAGAGCAGAUAUAUAGAAUCUACCCCCUCCUCUACACACCAUCUCCUUCCAUCAUAUCACAACAUAUGGGGUUAAAAACACCCACCCAUCCUUACACACCAUAUAGCAUCGAUGUGAUACAUAACAAAUAAUAUUAAGUUAAGCUGUCAGAAUGUAGGCGAAAGGUCGUCGUACAGAUCACUUCCUCCACAUAUGCAAAUCCCACCCCAAACACAGAUACAUAAUACAGAAUUAACAUGCUUAACAUGCUCGUAUAUAGAUAACAUAUAUAUUCAAACAGAACAGUCAGACAUACAUAUCAGAGUCCCAUUAAGAUCAGACUAUCAGAAUAUCAGGUCACGUGAAUUAGGGUUUGGUUGACCCUUACUGUCCCUACGGUAGACCCAUAGUCGAUCGGAACGACCCGUGCGACCCUAGGGAAAAUUUUAAAAUCAUGGGCCCACAUACUCGUGUGGCCCACACACCCAAUCUAGUUUAGCUCGUGUGGCUCACACCGUCACAUGGUCAUGUCUCGUGCACGACCACACCUACGACAUUUACAUGACCGUGUCUUGUACACGGCCAACCACAUGGUCGGGCACAUGCUCGUGUGGCGUCGAUAAUACCCUUUUUUAGCUUUCAUCGAACCUUAAUUUUUCGUGUUUAGGAUACACACCUGGUACGAUUUUGAUGUGAAAACACUCCCGAGACCACUAGAACCUAAAAUUGACAUAACAAGCUUUCAAAAUCAGUCUAAUUCCUUAAUUAAAUCGAACUAACGAAAUCAACAAUAGUGAAAUUCAAGUUUUCAAGACUUACCCGAUUCCCCGAACAAUUUCGACUAUAAUUCUGUAAGAGAAGAACCACGUUCCUCGCACUGUAGUCAAACCCAUAAAAUCAAACUAACAAAAAACAAAACUAACUUAAAUAAACUUUAACCAAAGCCCUCAAUCUAAGAAGAAACUCACCACUUUCCUUUACCUAAACAUACAAAGUAAUCAGAGAUCCGUAUUAUCGCAAUUUUAGAAGGGAGAUUUUGACAAAAAUAAGGGAAGAGAAAAAAGAUUUUUGGUGGGGAAAGAAAAGUAUAACAUCAGAAACUAGAAGAGGGAGAAAUUUUUGGGAACAUAGAAUAAAUUAAAAUAAAAAGAUUAAGUCAAAUCCCUUAACCAUCCAACUAAUUAAGAAUCCCACUACCAACAAACCACUAUCAACCGCCGUCGCCAAAAAUUAUCACUCACGCUCGCACAUUAAUUCGAACACAGGACCUCCAACAAAUUAACUCCUUACCACUCGAACCAGCAGGCUCAUUCUAAUAUGAGUUUACAAACAAUAUAAUAUAAGACCACCCGACAGGGAUAAGUUUUGAAAGCAUUUAAAUUUACAUUUCAAAUGAACCUGGACAAGAUUUUUUCUAGAUUCAUUUUUAAUGUGUAAAAUAAUAAUUUCUUUAUAAUUUCUAGGAUUUUUAUAUUUUUAAAACUUAGAUUAUUUUUAUAAUUAUCUUUAAUUAUUUAUAUUUUUACCAUUGAAAUAAUUUUAAUAAUUUUUAAUUUUUUUACUAUAUUUCAAAUUUAUAUCUGAAUGAAUCUGGACAAAUUUUGUUCAAGUUCAAAUUUAUUUGGACAACUAUUUAUUCAGGUUUAUUCUGGAUGUAUUGAUAACUUUAAUAAUUAAAAUUAAAAUUAAAAUUUUGAUAAAUUCAAAUAAUAAAAAUUAAAAUAUUUAUUUAAUAAUUAAAUAAACAAUAAAUAAUUUGUAGUUGGUGUUCUAAAUUAGAAAGAAGAAGUGAAAGGAAAUACAUAUGCUGUCAAAAGAUUACAUCAACAUUUGUCCACUAGAUACACUAUUGUGGCCAUUAAAUGACGUACCAUAAAAAAAUAAAAAGAAAAGAACAAACAACUCAAAAACCGAUUUAUAUAUAUUAUUUGUAUUCUUUUGACUUAAAAGCAUAAUUGAAGCUAAAACUAAAAAUAUUGCAAUGAUUUUAUAAUGUUAUUGAUAAAUAUAAUCUUUUUAGGAAAUUUUAUAUCUCAUAAAUAUAAUAUAUAUAACUCUUCAGGAUAAUUUAAUUAUCAAUUGCCGAGAAGUUUUUGCAAUCAAUUCUAUUAAAAAAUAUUAUUAUUUAAUAGGAGGAGACUUUUUAUUCUUUUAUAUUUAUGUUUUUAUUUUUUUUAAAUAAAAUUACAAUUUGCAAUUAUAAGUAAUAUAUCAGACAUUCUCUCACAUGUAUCUGCACGUGGAAACCACAAAUUUAAAACAUAAAUGUAUGUCUAAAAUAACAUAUAAUAGAUAAUGAAACUUAUGGUUUGAAACUAAUUAAUAAUAAUGCAUUAAAUAUGUACGUUAUUAGAAUAAGAAAAUUAGAUUAAUUUUCGUAUCAAGUUGUUGUCAUCAAUCUUGAGUCCUUGUCGAGUUAACUUGUGGUAGAAAUUCAUCUAUAUUAUUAUUUAAAUUCUUGACUAAGUUGGUGUCAUGAGUAAACCGGACACCAACUUGGUUAGGAAGUUAUGAGAAUACCCUUUUGUAAUUAAAAUAAGUAAUGUUAUUCGAGGCUAGUUUAGUCUUUUAACUUUAAAAAACAUUAAGAAUAAGUAUAUGGUAGGAUUCGAACCCACAUCAAUUGUAUUAAUAAAACUUUUAAUUUACCACUCAAUUAAAAUUUUAUUUUAAUAUUUUUAUACACUUUAGUUUUAUUAUGCACACUCUAUUACCUUCAUAAGUUGUAUAUCUAUACAUACUAUUAUUUAAACUCCAUACUGAGUUGGUGUCACUCUCAAUUGGGUCACCAACUUGGUUAAAAAAUUACAAGAAUGCCCUUCUUUUAUUAAAAUAAGUAAUAUUAUUUGAGAGUAUUUUAGUUUUGUCACAUAAAACAAGGAAUAAAAAUAUACAUACGGUGAGAUUUGAACCUAGGCAAAUUUUGCAUUAGUAAAACCUUUAAUUUACCACCCAACUAAAGCUUUAUUUUAAUAUUUCUUAUACAUUUUAAUUUACUAUUUAUUUAAAACACAUAUGUGUGUUUUAAAGUAACAUACAAUAAACAAUGAAAGGUAUAGUUUGAAACUAAUUAAUCAUAAUAACUGCAACACCCCAAAUUCGGUUUGAAAGUUUAAGCCAAACUUGGAGGAGUUACACCAACGCAUUGAAAACUGGUUUCUUUUCGGGAUUUUAAUUUUGAAAAUCAAAAAUUUGUUUUUGUCGAUUUACGUGAUUUUGUAGUUUCAUGUUAGAAAUUGACUGAUACUACAAAAUGACAUUAUCACAGAAAUGUUUUGCCGAACCAUGACGUCUUGUAACUUGGGUAGUCGUGAUAUAUUGCUAAGUGUUACUCACUAUGUAAUGACAUAGUUUCCAAUGGUGUUGGGAAAUCCAAUUUCUGGACAUCAUUUUCAUAAAUUGAGUCCAUAAAUAGUAAACAGGGGUUUUUGUGGAAUAAUUAUGUUGAUAUAGCAAAAUUUAGUUAAGUAAUUUUGCAGAAAAUGUGGUUAGUUAAGGCUUGAAGACUAAAUUGUAAAAAAAAAAGUACUAUAGAUUUUUAAUUAAAAAAAGACUUGGAGACUUAAAUAGAGAUUAUCCAAAGGAUCAAAUGGUAAAUAAAAAAAAUAAAAUAGAUGAUAAUGGGAUUGGAUGGUGGAUGCCAUUAGAUAAGUUAAUUAAAUAUUAGAGUUUAAUUAAUUAAGACUAAACUAACUAAUUAUGUUUAAUUAGGAUUUUUUUACAAAAAUAAUAUUAAAAAAUAGUUAAUUACAAGAAUGAGUUUGAGGAAAUUACUUACAAAAAUAAGUUGUUUGCUACAGUACAAACUGGUAUCUACAACACCACCAAAAAAAUUAGGUCAAUCAUCAUUCAAUCAUUACAUUUUUUUUAAAAAGAAAUUUGAUUGGUUUCAUCACUAUAUUAAGCCACACCAAUUUAUAUAUUUUUUAAAAAUACUCAUAUUUUCACAUAUGUAAACGGUGAGAGAAAAAAUAAAAAAAAUUCUGAAUGCCACCAAUGUCUCAAACGUCACCCUUUCAAUUUUUUUUUUUAAAUGUCUGACAUCAUACGGUGCCAUUUACGUACAUGAUUUUUUACAUUUACUAGUGGGGGAUAACGCUCCCUUUCCUGCCUUCAAAGAUUUGCUAAGAGUUAUUGGUCAAGGGUUUUUUUUUUAAUCAGUUUUUUUUAACUUCAGCUGUUUGUUUUCAUGAUAGAAUUUUUUUGAAUUCAAAAGGAUACUGUCUGACACAUUUACGGUACCUACUUAAAAAAUAAUGUUUUUCACUUUUUCUUGCAUCAAGUAUAUUUGUGAGAAUACAACUAUUUUUUAAAAAAUAUAUUGGUGUUGCAGCACCAAUAAAAGAUUUUUUUUUAAAAAAAACAUAAUGAUUGACUGAUGAUUGACCGAAAGUUAGGUGGUGUUGCCGGUGUGUCAGGCGGCACCAGUUUGUAUUGUAACAAAUAACUCAUUUUCGUAAAUAAUUUUCCCCAACUCAAUUCUGUGAUUAAUUAAUUUUUAUAUUAUUUUUAUAAAAAACGGUGAAUUACAAAGUCAUCUUCUCCUUCCCCAGAGCUAUCGUCCAAUUUUAGAAGAGAAAAGAAAGCUUUAAAGCCUAACUUGAUACUCAGCCACCUAUUUGAGUAAGUCUCUAGCCAUUUUUUCUUUGAUUUUUAUAGAAAUUGAAUAAUGAGAGCUUGAUUUAGCUAACCCAUGCAUCAAUUUCCCUUACUUCAGUUUAUUCGAUGAUGCACUUCGAUGCCAAUUUGUAACAUUCUCGACCCGGUUUAGGAGUUUCAACUAAGUCGGAGGCGUACAUUUGAUCACCGAGGUGAUCAUGUAAAGCCAUUCUUUUUGAAGUGUUGAUUUAUAUGGAAAACUCUCUUUUGUCUUUAGGAAGAACAUUCAUUAAUUUAAAUUGGUUUUACUUAACAAUUCAAUUAUAAUAUUAUUAAUGUGAAGAUUUAGGAAAAUGAGGUAAAUUUUUUAAUAAAGGACUUAUCAAAAGCUUUUAGUAUUUUGUAAAACCAGGGAAAACAUUUAAAGUAGUGGUUUUCUAAACUGAAAAGCAUGCAAAUUUCAGAGUAUUAACUAAGUGUCAUGCUUUAAAAUAAAUAAGCUAAACAACUUUACCCUAAAUAUAAAAGCAAGAAAUAACUAACAAUUACAACCCAAAAAUAAAAGAUUUGAAGAAAACUUUAAUAAAAACUUUAUAAUAAUAAUAAUAACAAAAAAUUAGUUGUUAUUCUGAGGUUCCUUCGAUGCCAUAUCGAGUUGUAGUUUCUUAUGUUACCUAAGAGGAAAAGAAAGGGGGAAUGAGCUUACAACCACUCAAUAUGAAACUAGCUUAUAAAUCAUUAUAUAUAAUUGCACAAAUAGAAAAACAUAGAAAUAAUAGCGAGUUAAGUAUAACAUUUGGAGUACAUAGUAAAUCAAUGUAUAUACAGUUUAUGUAUGAUGCAAUGCAAAUCCAAAUUUCCCACCCGUUUAUUUUAUCCGCCCUCAAGCAUCGCUCGCCACACCUAAAACACAUAUCAAAGACUAGCCAUCCCUGAUUUCCCGAUGAAGAUGGUCAUUUACAUGUCAUUUGUGAUGAUGAAUUUUACUACAAUAACUUACUAUCCUGGUUGUCUGAUUUUGAUAGUUUUUUACUACGAUAAACUAUCAUCUCAGUCGUCACGGUUUAGGAUUAGUUUUCAUUUUGCUAGGGAUACUAGUGCCAACAUUGGUUUGCAACAUGUGGAGAAUUUGGUCUAGCUGGCCUUGCAUUUGACGCACUGUAGUGUGCAACAAACGUAUCCCUUCUUCAAGUUUACUAACCUUAACGGUCAUAGGGGGUCAUUGUUAAAAGUAGGCUUCCUCUUAAGGUCUUGGGGUUUAUAGGCUUGUAGAGGUUGGUAAGGAGGGGCUGGUCUAUGGUGGUUGAAGUUUCCCACACCUUGGUUUCCUCCCCACCUAAGGUUGGAAUGAUCACACCACCUUAGAUUAUAGGUAUUUGAGUAUGGGUUACCACCCCUAGUUCCCAUAUAGUUCCCCUCAACCUAACUACCCUCUUGGUGAUUUCUCUAAGUAGCUUUUCAUUUUUGCCCCCUACAUGAGAUCCCAUAAGAUGGUGUUUGUUAGGAUUGAGGCAUAUUAGAGCUAAUUUCGAGGUUAUUAAACCUCUAGAGGAGUUGCCAUUGACUGCAUUCACAGUCAGUGAUUUAGCUGUACAUGUGAAUCGCUUAAUCGACCACAUCUAGGAGUUCAUUGCUAAAUGUUUAAUGGGUUGGCAACCUUUAGCGUAAGUUUUAGACAUGAACGGCCCCGCAGAUGCUCCUUCUAAGCUUGACCUCAAAUUCCUGUCCAAACCAUUAUAGAAAGUUUGUAAUUACAACCAAUCUUGUAGACCAUGGUGAUGACACUUAUCUAGUGUUACUUUGAAGCACUCACAUGCCUCAUACAACAAUUCUACCUCCAAUUUCCAGAAGUUGGUGAUAUUCAUUCGCAACUUCAUCUUUUUGCUCAGUGGGAAAUAUUUGGUGAGGAAUUGGUUGGCUAGCUCAUCCCACAUAGCGAUAGAAUUUAUUAGCUGCGAAUCCAACCAUAUAAAAGCGUCAUCACACAAAGAGAAAGGGAAUAACCAAAGGCAUAUAACGUCAUUGGAUACCCUGUUAUACUUAAAAGUAUCACAAAUGGUUAGAAAAUGUUAAAGGUAUUGUUGGGAUCCCCAUGCAUUGAGCCCCAGAAAUAGAGAUAACUUUGUAUCAUCUAAAUCCUAGCCGACUUGAUCUCAAAAUUGUUGGCAUUAAUGGCAGUUUGGUUGAUACUCCUCGCACAACAUCCAAGUUUGGCAUGAUAUAAUCUUUCGAUGUACGGUUCGCCAUUCGUCUCGAUCAGAUAGGGGUUCGUGUUUCUCUAUGUUCAGAGGGCCUAGAGGUGGAUAUUCAAAUAAAAGAUUGUCAAUCGGUGGAUCAACAAUCAGUGAUUCUAUCGAUAGGUGACCCUCUCUUGAGGGUUGUCCUCAUCUUGCGUUGGAUAUUAUCUUUUCCGACUCGAGAUCAAAUGAGAUUAAAUCUUUGUUGCUCCAAGUCAUACAUUGAGAAAUGCAACCACAAGAAACACGGGUUAGUCAUGAAAUUAACUAAACAAAUAAAAAUAGAAAUACACAAAGAAGUAAAGCGCCGUAUUUAUAAACCUAGAUUUCACCAAUUGUCUUCCUGGCAAAACAUGAGAAAAUCACAACAAAUCAACUCAUCACACACACAUCUCCCAAAAACUUGAUUGCGCCACAGCGUACGAACUCCUAGCAAAUAAUUAGCACAAAAUAUAAGAAAUUAAAAGUGACUUGACUGCAAGUGUGAUAGGUCAAUUGUAAUAUUUGUAAGUGUUAUAAUGGAACACUUUGAGCUUUCCAAGGAUCAAACCCAAGAGAGGUCAAAGUUAAUUACGCUAAACUACCCUAAGGAGGACUAAAUUGAAUAACAAUAAAAAGUAUACAAAUAUAAUUCAAUGAGAUAAAGUGGUCGGUUGAUAUCCAUAUUUCUAAUUAAUUCUUGGAUUAGGGAUAUAAAUUGCUCAAACUCCUAAUUAGUCCAAUUUUACCUCUCGAUUACCAUUUUACCUAAUUAUACGAUUUAGUCUGAUUUAUCUCCCGACCUCACUAAACUAAGUCGGGUCAAUCAAAUUGGCUCACAAUAGGAUCUCCUUUCGGUCUCACCUAUCCAAAUGUUCACGUAGAGGCGUCAAUUCUAGGUUUUGAAAUCUAUUCAAUUUAAUCCGAUUUUUAUGAUUUACUCUUUGACCCAAAAAUUAACCAUGCAAUAUUUCAAUCAACCAACCACCAUAAAACUUAGUUACUACUCAUCAUCACAAGACAAAGACCAACCAAUUUCAAGCUAAAAUGAUUGGUCAAAUAACCACAAAAAGAUAAGUUUUAGAAAUGUUUAGUGACUCUUGAAGGAUCCUUUGAUGAGGAUGAUGACAACAAGAAAGAUGAUAAAUCUACAACCAAAUAUGAUUUUUUUUUUUUUUUUUGAAAACUAACAAGAAUAAAAUCUGUUGAAUGUUUUAAAUAGAAGUUGAAAAUGACAAGGUUGAAAAUGACAAGGUUGACUAUUGUAUCUACUUGGAAAAAAAAAAACUAAAACUACAGUAAAAGUAAUGACAAGGUUGAAUAUUGUGUCAGAAUUUAAUGCAUGAGUUAAAUAAAUGUUCCUUGAUAAAAGAAAUCCGUGAAAAAAUCAAUUGAAAAAAAGAGUCAAAUCGGUUUAACUUUAUAUGCAUAAAUUGACUUCAUUUGAUUUUAAAUUUAACUUCAUAUAUAUAUAUAUAUAUAGUUCAAUCUUAUUAGUCCGUUGUACCCAAAUAAAUUCUUUAUAUAUAUAUAUAUAUAUAAAAACUCAAUGAGUAUUUAUAACCUUAGUUAAAGAUUUAAGAUUUAAUAUCUUUAGCCAGUUGAGUCUUAAUUUAAUUGAUAUGAGUAUUAUUAUCAAUGCAGGAGAAUGUGAAUCCGAAUAUGUUAAAACGCAUUAUUCUUCUAUUUAUGGGUGGAGAGGGACUAUAGGUAAUUUUAAGUAUUAUCUUAAAAAAUAUAUAUAUGAUCAAAAUUUAUAAUAAGAUUAUUCAAAAAAAUGAGACUUAAGAUCCUUAAAAUUCACUACUAAUAAUUUUGAUCUGUUUAGCAAAAAAUAUUUUGUUUAUUAAAAUUUUCAAAAAUGUUUUUAUUAUAUUUAUAUAUAAGAAUAUUUGGUACAUCACUAUGGAUGAAACAUGCCAUUUUUCAAUUUUUAUUUACCCAAAAUUAAUAUUAUUUUUCAUAGUUUUUAAAUUGAUUCCUUAAAGAUUUUCUAAAAUCCUAAACAGGGCAAAAUUCCAUUAAAAAAAAUCCAAAAGAGAGCGGCUCAAAUAAGUAACAAAAAGAAUUGAUUAUUGAGUAGGAUUAAAAGUAGCAUGACAAACAUUUUUUUAUUAAGUAAAAUUUUAUAUCUAAAUAAGUUAGUAUUUUUAAAUAAUAUAUAGAGUCAUAGCAGUCUUACUUUACACUGUUAUUUCCUAAGAAAAUAAUUUCGGUGAUAAAAAGAUUGGUCAUAGAGACUGCAGGGGGAUUGAGGACUUAAAAUUCUGUCAAGUGUAUGUCAAAAGCAAAGAAAAGAUUUAAUAUCACUCAUGCCCUCAAACAUUAGGCAUCAAUCAUUUUCAUCCUUACAUUUCAAUCAAUGAAGAAUAAACCAGAAGUAUAAACUCAAUUUUAACCUUUUCUAUAUACAUUACAUAAGAUAACAUUAAAUCAAGUACAUUUUUUUAUUAACUACUGUAAUUAUUUCUUUUUAAACACAUUUCAUAUUAAAGUAAUAGUUAAGAUUUAAUUUAUACAUUACAUAAGAUAUUAUACAUUUCUAAACAUUUAUCUAUUAAUAUUUUACAGACAUAACAUUUCUUUUAAUCUAUUUCCAAUUCUCAUGCAAUGGGUCCUACAUUCACUUUGUUUUCCAUAUUUGUUUUCUUGAAUUUAAGUUCUCCUUUUUUGUAUUUCUCAUGCACUUUGUUUUCUUGAAUUUAAGUUCUCCUUUUUUGACUUCAAAUAUCACCACUAUUUUUCUUACCUAUAAAUACAUGCAACAAUUGCACUCUUAUCCUCACACAAAUUCUGUGCCAAAUUUCAAGAGCAAACCAAAAAAAGGCUGCAAUUUCAGCUUUUCAAUAUUUGCUUUUGAUCAAUCGAAAUGGCUUCACAAGAUUCUCAAAUGCCUUCUUCAUCACCCCUUUCUUCCAAUAAGGAUGAAAUGCGUCCCAAAGCCGAUUUUCAGCCUAGCAUUUGGGGAGAUCUCUUCCUCAAUUGUCCCGACAAGGUAUACAUACAUAUCACCAUAUUGAUAUAAUCUUAACAUAUUAUUUGUUUAAUUAUUUAGUGAUUCAAUGUGAAGAAAAUUUUCAUUAUUUUGAGCAGAAUAUUGAUGCUAGAACUGAAAAACGCCACCAACAAUUGAAAGAAGAAGUGAGGAAGAUGAUUGUGGCACCAAUGGCUAAUUCAACCCAAAAGUUAGCCUUCAUUGAUUCAGUCCAAAGACUGGGUGUGAGUUACCAUUUCACCAAGGAGAUCGAAGAUGAACUAGAGAAUAUCUACCAUAACAACAAUGAUGCCGAGAACGACCUCUACACCACAUCUCUUCGAUUCCGACUACUCCGAGAGCAUGGAUACAAUGUUUCAUGCGGUAAUUAUUGGAACAACAACAUAGUGUUUUUAAGUGUCUAGAGAAUAUAAUAGCAUGGAAUGUUUGAUAACGAUAU
rnacentral:lncRNA from 1 species